rnacentral:lncRNA from 1 species
AGUGGGGAAUCUCGGAUAAAUGCUUUGAGUAUAUAGCUGAUGUAAAGGUGGACUUUGCCACUGUGUAAGUACUGAUCCUUUCUAUCAAUAAAAAUGAACAAGUUUUGCUCCAAAAAAAAAAAAAGAAAACAAAAGAGCCAAUCCAUACAACCAAAGAGAUGCAGAGACUAUGAAGGUGCUCAAUUAGAAAGUAGGAGGAAAACUAAUAGUUGUUGUUGUAAUUGCAACUUUACAUAUCAUCUGAACAUCAGAUUAUGUCUAGAAAAGGGAAGCACGAAAAAUGUAGAUAUCUCUGGUCAAUAGUUAAAGAUACUACAACAGUUUUUGGCAACUAAGUAGAAGCUAAUUUCAGAAACGAUGAGUCUGAGACAGAAUAGCAAAUUCACUACAAUAAUCAGUGAAUUAUUAGUACUGCCACAAAUCAUGACUAAAACUGCUAUAGCUGAUUGACAGUUUGAAGGCACCAUAUUUGCAACAAGAAAUCAAGAAGCUUUGGCCAGCAGAGACAAAGGAAGUGAAAAAGGCAGUGCCAUGAUGAAAUUCAAGAAAGGAUUAUCCAAAGAAAAGGCGGUAAUUAGGAGCCGUCAAAAUGUCUGUCUGAGCUUUAAGCCUACUGUCACUGCAAAACAGAAAUACUAGAAUCGGGACACCACAUAGCAAAUCAUAAGGCUUAACUGGAAAUUGCAUGACAUUAAUGUUUAGCAAUUAUUCAGAAAGCUAAUUCAGUAUUUUUUUUUUCGCUGUUCUUUUCUAACCUAAAUUAGUAAGCAGAUAUCAAAUCUUCCUGCUCAGUCUACAAGUACCAGUAGUGCCAUAGACAUUACACCCGUUUGUGUUUGAAACACUGAGAAAAGUGUUGUUCUAUAACAAUAUAGUUAUAAUAUGCGGCACCAACAAGAAUGAAAGGCAGAGACAGGUCCAGACAGAGUUGCCAUGAAUGCGAACUCUUUCAGACCUGCAAGAUACAAACGUCUUAAACAUGACAAUUUUUUAAGGUUUUAGUUAACUCAUUGCAUAUUGAAGUGGUUAAAACCCAACUAUUAAGUAGUGGAAGAAGAUUAUCGGUACUGUAAAUUAUCAAACCACUAAUUUCACAACCAAGGGCAGUGAGAGUUCCCUCAAUUGUCCGUUCCGAUUUAUACCGAGGAGAAUCAGUAGAAUCCCAUCAUUCAAGAGACACGAUAGAGAAUGCCAAUAACCGGGUAAUUUGGAGCAAGAUGACAAUUACAUAUUCAAGAGGUGAAAGUUUAGAGCAAGCAUUUCCACUUGCUCCCUUCAGCAAUCAUAGCGUACAACUGGAAGCAGCAGACAUCUGGUAAAAGUAAACUGCUAGUUUUUAUUUAAAACAAAGAAUUUUGUACCGUAGACGUAAAUACAAAAAAGUUCUCAGCUUUGACAUUGUGCUUGAUUCUCCACAUCAAAAAAUCUGCUCUUGAAUAUCUGUAUUCCAUAAUUGAAUUUUAUAUGUGGUUAGUGACAGUGUUUUCUUCCCUGAACAAAGCAUUCAACAAACUAAAGUUUAACAGUUGCAUAAUUUCCCAAAUUGCCAAUUUACUUCCAUAAUUCACAGCUUAUAAGAUAGCACAAUUAACGAUUGAGAUCUAUGUGGUGGAACUCAGAAAAUGAGCCAUUAAGUCACAGCAAAAUCCGCAUAUAACUGCAACCAAAACACCAGCUAGUUCUAAUUUCUAACGACGAGCAGUAUGCCAGAGAUAGCUAAUUCAGUUACAAGUAAAUCAGCCCCUCAUUAUUGUGACUACAAAUUGCUGAAUCAUUUGGACAGUUCAAGGUGGAUUCACUAAGAGCAGCAAGUUGCAACAAGUAGACUUGACUAGCUUUUGAAAGGCUUCAAAACAUCCUGCUUAAACUUGACCAUGUUGGAAGAUACUCCACCAAGUACCAAGUUUUGUGCAACUUCAUUGCAUGAACAGUACAUCGUCCUCGGCUACCUCGGCAAUAUCUUCACAAUGACAAGAUUUCUUUUGUUUUACAUGUAGCAUAUUAAAAAUCAAAGCGAUUAAAAGUCAAAAUUGAGUAGUGAAAAAAGAGAAGCGUAUCUUAAAUUACCAGAAAUUUGAACCAAAACACCAAAGCGAUGAUGCGAAAACCCCUUGAUUGACCAUUGUCUUCAUGGCUAGAAAAUCAUAACCGAGAAAAAGUGAGUCAAAAAAACCAUUAUUUUGAGACCCAGAGCUAUUACUAAUCAAAUGGUUCAGAGAAGUAUCUAAAUGCAUUUUUGAGAGGUAAAAGUUACAGAGAAACCAUUUCAUCCCCUUAGAAUCACAAGUUUAAAGAGAGUGGGCUGACUUUAGCAAUAAUAUCUUACAAUCCACAGAACCAAAUAUGGAAAAUCAACAAAACUAGACCGCUCGUUGUUAUUAUAUGUCGAUGGGCUAUUUGUAGGACGUGCAGGCAAAAAAUUAUUGAGUUCCGGCAAUAUAUACGGUGCUGAAGAAGCUUCACAAUUCUAACGUAUGUUCAUCUAAGCAAGAGACCACAAAAAUCAUCUUGGGAAGCAUUGAAGAAAGGAGUGCGGCAAGAAUUGCUGGUCUAAAGGUGCACAAUGGAAUCCUCUCAAAUUCCAGCUAUUGCACUGCUAGACAACAUCCUUGGAAGCAGAUCCUCCUAAACUUUGCAACAUAAUCAUUUUAGUUACCAUCUAUAUCACCUCACAAAAGGUAACAAAUAGAAAUCUUCAUAAAAGUUUCAUUAGAGUAAGUUCUCCUAUAGAAACAAAAGAAGCUAUAAAUUAAGAAGUCUAAAAUCUUUGUCUGCGGUUGCUAGUUCACAAUUUUUUUUGCUUUGACAUACAUUCAUUUGAGGAUUUACUCCAUGAAUAUAACGCAUUAUCUUUUUCCUUUUUUUAAACAAAUCAAUAAGAAAAUAAAAUUUUCACAGUAAAUGGUGGUGUGUAUGCCUAAGUUUGAUGAAAGCCCUCGAGAAAGCUUGUUCCUGCAUUAUAACUAUGAAAGAACAGGAAGUUCUAUUACAUUUUCUUGUGAUGGAAUCUUACAAAAGUGAGUUUCUUUUGCCACUUUUACCCUAAAGAUAAUGAGCAGGUACUAGGACUCGAUACAAUGUAUGUAUAUUUUUUUGACUUAGAUAUGCUAACCUUGCGAUAACACUCGAAAGUUUGCAAAACCUCUUAAUGGUCAAUCUAUUUCUCUAGUAAUGGUCAUCAAACUGCCAAUAAAGAUCAUCAAAAAGUCCUGGUAAUGAUGGCUCUUCAAAAACAUCUGAUAAGCUGGGGCAAGAAAUUUUUUCCCAGUAGAUUGUACAGGCCAGCUGACAGUCAUUGAGCAAUCAAAACACAGACAGAAAACUUUCUGCAAUUGAGGUACAACUAGUUUCAAAGACAAAAAGCCAGGGAAAAAAUUAAGCAAAUUUAUAGUAAUAUAGCAGGUAAAUUCUUACUGCUGGACCUCGUGACUGAAAAGGCAGAUAGACAAUGUGCAAGCUCCGACAACAAGGAUAUCAAGUGCUGGCUUUAUAAGGCACCGAUACGAAAGAAAAAUUGCCAUCAUAAAUAUUUUUGUCCAAGCUACUGGCCUUGCAAUUCAAUGAGUAAUUAAUGGCCAAUGGAGAUAUCCACUUAAACCUUGAGCCUAAGAUCACUGCAAAAUAGAAAAUUCAAGCUCAGACAUUAUGUAGUAAACAAGAGAUCUAACAAAACAAUUUAGAUAAUUUCGUGAAGCUAUUGUUCUGUCAAUCCUACAAAAACAAAGUGUGGAACAGAAUAUUAACAGAGUUAUAGUAAUACAUCAAAGCACAGAACAGGAUAGGUGAUUGGUUUCAUGUUAAUCGACGGUUACAAGAGUAUUAUGUUGUUAGGAGUAAAUGAGAAGCACGGUAUUUUGAACUUGGCAAGAAAUGCUAAUGCCGCAGCUUUGAAAGAUAAUAAAUAGGACGAGAAAAAGGAAGAAGAGAAAAUUGUGAAGAAUAACCACGGUAACUUUUUAGUUUUUUUCAUAUAAUUCCUCCACACUUAAAUCAUUGCUUGUCCUCGAGCAAUAAAAAAUACAAACCAGCAAUAAUUUAAGAAGUGAAAUGAAUCAAGUGAACUUGAAACUCAAUCUCUCUUAACUUUGGCAAGCUUUGAUUAUGCAAUUUUUUCCUAUUAACCGUAAUACUCAUCAUAUCAUGUAAAAGAGAGAUAAUUACACUCAAAAUUCAACCAAACAAAUUUAAUCUCUCUAUCUUACCUAAUUUCACAAAUAACUAACAUAUAUAGUUACCUUGGAGAUUUUCUUCCUUCUAAAUGAGAUGUUUAGCUUCACAAACCUUAAGAGGGAACUAUUCACUUUCUUUUUUCUUUUAUUUACUCUUAAAAUUGUGAAAAUGCCUUUUGACGAAGAUUGAUAUUUUUAGAUGAAGAUUUCCGGUUACUCAAAACUUCACUUAUUACUCCCAAUUCCAAUACCUUUUGACGCGAAAGUCGAUAUUUGUAGAUAAAACUCUCGGUUACUCAGUAUAAAAAUUUAUUGAAUAUUUUUACCAUAAAAUCCCUCAAUAAGGUCACAUUUGGAAGAAAAAUAUUCUAGCAACUAUAUAAAUCAAUUACUUGUAAAAAUAAGUAAGAUGAGAGAUUUCAUUUACUAUGCAAAAUGUAGGCAUAAUUUUCUUUAUUUUACAAUAUAUACUUUCUUACAUGCAAUAAUUCUAGUCAUAUUAUAAUUGUUUCCAAGUCAAGUGAGAAUUGAAUUGUUCAAUUACUAAAAUCAUCUCACUUGUAUAGGAGAAUUUUAAAACAAAAGGGACAUGAACUUCUUGCACUUGUGGAUUUAAAUGAACAAUUUGUGAAAGACUUGGGGCAAAUUUUGAAAUUUGGACAAGAUUUUGAAAAAAUUUUGACAGAGUUUCUCUUUAAAAUUGGAUGAAACUUCCUGCCGGCAAACCCAAAAGCCAACAAUUUUAAGCACAAGACAAAUUUCUAAUAUCAUAUCCAAGCAUUUACCAUAUAAGCACCAAAGUGACUCCUACUUAACAGCAUUUCCUCCCCCACACUUAACAUACACAUUUUCCUCAAUGUGUAGGGAAAGCGAAGAAGAAAAAGUAAAAACAAGUUACUCCCCAAUUCAAUGGCUGAGAUCCAGCUCAAUCUUGAAUCACGAGCCAUCGACGAAUCUACAACCAUCUAUGAAAACUGCCACAAGUCCCAAAUGCAAGAUGAGAAGUUCAAGUUAAACUUGUACAAUAAAAAGAGUUAAAAUAAAAAACUACAAGGAAAUAUGAAAGCAAAAAAAAAAUGCAGCAAGAGGUCGGCGAGUCUUCUCCUUGCACAUCACAUCACUGUGGAAAAGUGCUAAAUGAUUCUUUCAUAUAUAGUGCUAAAUGCACAUCACAUUUUCUCCUUGCAGUGAUUCUUGUCCCUCCUCUUCUCUUCUUUCUCUCUUUAGUGAUUCUUAAAUAUAUAGUGUUCAAGAGAGUCAAAAAGUGCUAAAUAAGAUGACAUAAAAUUUCUUUUGCACUUUUCUAGAGUUUCUUGAGCAUGUGUAGCCUAAAUUCUGUGCAAGAAUUGAGCAGAAAAGAAGUGUGAAAAUAGGGCAAGUUGCAAAACAAGUUACAAAAAAAUAGGAGAGAAUAAGCAGGCUUGGAAUACGUGACCUCAACUCGUGUAUUCAGAGCCUGUGUUUUCUCUUUUGUUACGUUUUCUUGUGUCUUUCUAUCCAAUGCACUAAGAUCAUAAGCAAGAUGCCCCAAUGUUUGUUCAUGCAAUGAAACAAUAAUACUUGCAUUUGAUGCUCUUCUAAUUCCAAAUCAUCAUUGAAUCAGCCACUAAUGAAUUCAAAUGAAUUCGCCUCGAUCCAAUAUUGAUAAUUCUCCUCAAAUCCUACCAAUAUAACCACAUUUGUACGUUCAACUUCCUAAAUGAAUCUUGCAAAAGUUAAAGACUUAGAGAGCAAGUUACACCGUAAAAACCCUAAAUUAUACCAAAAAAUACGCACAUAAUACUACUUAAAAGAAUGUAUAAUACACUUAUCGAGAAGGUUGAUUAGAGUGGGAAGUGAAGAGAAGGCAAAGAUGUCUUAUGCGUAGGUAGCAAGCAAUCUUACAUGAUUGAAUUUGAUCUGAAGAUGAACUGUUAAUCGCUUAUUAAUAGGAGUUGAAUAUGAGAAAUUUUGGACCACUGGGAGUCGAGGCCGCUGCUCUCAGGAGUGCACUUUUCUUUUAACAGAGGAGAACCAUAAACCAGUAGAACUUUUAGUUUGGUGAGACUUCUCAUGGCAUCCUCAGAGGGUAAAUGUCGAAGCUCUUUGAAACCAAAUAAACAUAGGUAUUCAAGAGCAGCAAAGUUUCCGAACCAAUCUGGCAGAGCUUUUAUACCUCCAAAGUCAUGUAGCCGAAGUGACGUGAGAGUGGUCAAGUAUUGGAUCUGAUGUGGUAGGAACUCCAUGUGUGGCAACCCAAAUAAUUCUAGGUCACAUAGUAUGGAUGACAAAGAGGAGAAGGAUAUCAAUCCAGACCAAUCAAAUUCAUUGUAAAUUGAAGAAUUUUCAUGGUCAUCAUCAUCUGAGAAGGGACCAAUUUCAAGGCGAUUUAAGCUGGGUAGGAAACCAAAUCCUUUGGGCAUCAUACUUGUUUUCAGUUUGGGACACGCGUAUAAUUCCAACUCCAAAAGAGAAGGCGUUUGUUGCAAAUCAAGCGGAAAGGAGAUAAGCUUGUCGCAAUAAGCCACCUGAAGCUUUUGGAGAGAGAUACAAGACUGUAGCAUGUCACUGGGUAGACUCGUUAACCCACGGCAAAACCAAAUCACCAGCUCUUUAAGAAACGUAAAGUUUUGCAAGGGAAGGAGUUCUCUGCAUCUGUGGCAAUAAUAAAACUCCAAACGCGCUAACUUGGGAAGUGUUAUUGGCAAAUCCAUUGACCAUCGAGGAAAUUGAUCACCCAUAAAACGCUGAAUUACCAACUCCUCCAAAUUUGGAUGAGGCUUAAGGCCAUCUAACACAUCUUUGUCGUAGUUGUAGUUGUCACCUUCUCGAUCCCAAGCCAAGGCCCACACAAGUAUCAGCCUAAAUAGAUUUGCCUUUCCAAAUAGAUUUGCUUCCUCAGCCGCUUUCCUAUCCUUUACUAGUUGAAGAUUGCGUAUACUUAAACUGCCUUUGAGGUUUUUCAAGCAUCCAAGCUCUUCAAUUUGUCGACCCUUUUCUCGACCCACAUUAAAGAACUCUAGUGUCUGAAGGCAAGAUAGUCGUCUCAUCUCUAGCGGCAUUUGAAAUUUUUCAUCAAAGGUGUAAAAGUAGAGAUGUCUCAAGCUAAUCAAAUUGCACAUCCCCUUCGGAAGAUCUUUGACAUACAUGCUAUCUAGUGCCAAUGUCUGCAAAUUAUAAAGCUUGCAAAGGGAGUCUGGCAAAAUACAGAUUCUAGAACUCGAAAGGUUAACAUAUCGCAAAUGUGUCAAUUUGCCAAUAGUGAUCGGUAGCUCUUGAGUUGUUGCAUGAGACAAAUUCAAAACAUACAAGUUCUUCAACUUCAUUAACAUAUCACCAGAUAGGUCACCCUUUACAAACAAUGUACGAAGCGAAGUUGAUAGACUUUCCAAAAGUUUUUCUUUUUCUUCUCUGCCACCAGAUAAAUCUACCGCAAGGUAACGAAUAUUGUUAAUAACUUUAGUAGACUUUGACAUUGACUCUGCGAGGUCGUGCACUAGAUCAUGCAUCUUAUAAUAACGUGUUUCCUGAUAACUUUUGGUUUCUGCAAACAACGAACUCUGUAAUAAAAUUCUCAGACAAUUCAUUCCAAUUUCCUCCAUCAUCAUUUGGUUGUUGACAUCUGCUUGGAGCAAACCUUCUGCCAUCCAAAGUUCGAUUAGUAUAUCUCCUUUCAUCAUAGUAUCCUUAGGAAAUAUAGAACAAUAUGCAAAACAUUUCUUAAUGGAUGGAGAUGGUAAACAAUCAAAACUCAAUUUAAGUAUUUCCAUGACACCAUCUUCAUCUCCACUGAAAUUUGAAAGCUUAUUCUUCAAAACCAAUUGCCACUCCUCUUUUCUCUUCAUGCGCAAUAAACCUCCCAUUACACUUGCAGCCAGUGGUAGACCACCACAUUUUUUUAUAAUUUCCUUUUUCAUGACAUGCAAUUGUUUGAGAAUUUCUCCACCUGCAAUGGCUUUCUUUGUUAGGAUAGACCAACAAUCAUCAUCAGAUAGCUUUCCUAGCACAUAAGGAUCAUGUGUGGCCACAAUGGAUGCAGUUUGUUGUUUACGAGUAGUCACAACACACCAAUUUCCAUUAGUUGCAUUUAGCCCCAGUAAUGAACCAAAAAAAUCAUCCCACAAGGUAAGAUUUUCGGUCCAGACAUCAUCAAGAACAAGAAAAUUUUUUUUCCCACAAGUUAUUCUCGAAUUUCCUGGACGAUGACAUCCCUACUGGUCAUUUCAACAUUUCUUCUUGUGAGUGCUUCUAAAAUCAUUUUCAAAAGCCUGGUCACGUCAAAAUUGUCGGACACACAAACCCAAAUUUUUUUCUCAAAAUGGCUAUGAACUUGACUAUUUUUGUAUAUAGAUUGAGCUAAAGUUGUCUUUCCCAAUCCGCCCAUCCCAAGGAUGGGAAUUACAGAAACGGUUUUUCUUGACAAGCUUAGCAGGAUCUCCACCAGCCUUGUUUCAUCCUUAGCUCUUCCUACAACAUAGUGGCCAGCAAUAGAAUCCGUCUCUCUAUUUAGUGUGACUUUAGCAGUAGUAGAAGGGGGGAAACUUGCCCUUUGGAAUCUGAUCAGUCCAAAAUCAUUGGCUUCUUUAUUGAUCUUAUACAACUUCUUGUUGAUGUCCCUGAUCUUAGAGGCCAUUCUCCGUCGGAAAACAAUAUUAAUGUCAGAGGACAGGAUGAAGGAGCGUACCUUGUCCACGAGAUGGCGACGAAGAGCUUCAUAAUUCAGCUCGUCCAACAAAUUCUCGGCAUCAAACGCCACGGCUUCUAGCCUCUGGAGCCACAGUUGCACGGCCUUGUCAUGCAUUUGCUUUUCCUCAGCAUCAGCCAAGACAGCUUGGAUCAUGGCAACAGAUCCUUUCAGGGUCUCCAAAUCCUCCUUGAAUUGGAAUAACUUGCCAAUCCUUUCAUUGGCAAGGGAAAGUGUCUUCUCCAACGCUACCUCUAUUGUGGAAGCUAUAAUUGCAUCAGCCAUUCUUCUUGUUCCUUGGGUACAGUCUUCAGAUAAGAAUACUCUUUUGCAGUGGAAGGUUUUAGCUGUAGUUAGAAGCAGCAAGGAACUGCUUUGACUCAAACGGAAGUGACAAGAGUUAUGAGGAUUUUUUGGUGCAGCGCUUCUUUGACAAUCUGGGUCGGAUGCUUUUGCAACGGAAGUUGCUUGGCAUUUUCAGUUGAAAAUAAAAUAUAGUCAUUGCCGGGAUUCUACAUCUGCUUUUGAUCCACAUUCCACAUGCCUGGGGCCCCUAGUCGUGGAAAAUUCCACCCAAGAAGGAUAAGAAAUUGUGCUGAACAAUGAAAGGUCCAAAAUAAUUGUUUAGAUAAUUCAAAUUAAGCAAUUUCUUCUAAUUCAAAUUAAUGUUGUGCAUGUAUAGGAGGCACAAAAUGGUUUGGUGCACUAGCAAACAGAAGGGUACAUCUAAGGUUACUACAAGUUUUACGUUAAAGUGGGAGAUUUGUAAACCAAUUCAGAGUAAACAAAUGAUGUUGAGGAAAAAAUAUGUUAGUUGCAAUGCAAUCAUAAAAGCUAUGAUACAUUUGUGAAAAGAAGAAACAUUUAUUAAUUUAGUGCAGUCUAAUUACAAACCUAGAAAAAAAAAUAUACAUGAAUGAUCCGAAAGCGGGAACGGUGUCAUUUUACUCAAAUAAAAGUGUGAUCGAAUCAAGGAUUAUUUAAAUAAAAAAAUUAGAUUAAUAAUAUAAUACUUUUUGUAUUUUUAUAUAAUGCAUGUGAGACAGAAUGGUGGCUGGUAAAAUUAAAAAAAAGGUGAUGGAAUAAGUAUAAAUUGUUUUUUUCAUAUAUUUAUCUAAUGAUAAUAGUGACAGGGUAAAAAAACAAAGGUGAUAACAAUGAUAAGUGUGGUGAGUACUUCUUGCAAUUGAUUGCACCAUGCAAUCUAUAUUUUACAUUAGGUAAAUUUGAAAUUGGAUGAAUAGAAUUGAUUAGCACGCAAAACUUUCAAUGAAUGAAACAUGUAUUGUGCUUUUGUGUUAAUUUUGCAUUAGGUUAAUUUUGUCUGCAUUUAAUAUGUCAGUGUAUACACGUCUAUUGUGUCAGAACCUAAAUUGCAUGGCGUGUAUGGCACUAAAUUUCCAGUUCACCUUUCCUACUUAAUGCCUUGCUGAGGCCUCUACUCUGAUUGAGAAACCUUAUAACUGCUGGGGCCUUCUAUUGUGCAAAAAAUCUCAACAAAAUAAUGGUCUGACCCAAGAAGCACAAGAAAGUAUUGUCCUUAACAAUUAGAAUGUCAAAGAAAAAAAAGAGGGAAAUUGAUAGGUUGCAAUUUUAUCAUUUAUUUUAUUAUUAAUUUUCCCUAUUACCUGACCUGAUGUGAAUUAAUUAUUAGAUUCUACUCACUUUUCGUAAUUUACAUUUAUUUCAGGGAGUAGAACAAAAAUAUCACAAUCAAGACCAAUUUGACAGUUAUCGGAAAAGAGUUCAAAUAGCAGACAAUCAAGAGCAUUCUUGAAACAAAGAGAUGCGACCCUUUCUGGUAAUUUGUGAAAGACAGCAUAAAAGGAGAAGGAGGAACACAGGACUAGGCGUUCUUUCCCUUGGGGGGCUAGAGCCGCCGCACAGAGCCAGGCAUUAGAAUAGGACUUUUGAUAGAGGGAGGAGUAGAGGAUUUUUCCUCCUGAAGCUUAGUUUUCCUUUGACUUUUCCAUCGUAGCUUUUGAGGGGUAUCUUCCCACGCAUGUCAGAGAGCAAAAUUGGGGAGAACUUUAACUUUUCUACUUUUGAACUUUGAGUAGUCUUUUGUUCCUUCUUGUAUGUCGGACGAAUUGAAUUUCCCCAAUUUCAAAGCACGAUUGCCGCGACUUUUGCUACAAUUUUGUGUGGGUUUUUCAUACCAAAUAUGAAUUAAUCUCUUCGCUCUAAUCAAGGAGUAACGGAGGCUCUGGGUCGCCUAAAAAUUGUGAGAUCGUUUUAAUUUAAUCUUUUCCUUUUAUUUAUUGGUAUUUGCAUAUUCCCUGGUUGCAGUGCUUAUGGUUGUUUAAUUAAUUGAUUGUCUUGGAUCCGGAUAAUUAGUUAAUUUAAUAAUCUAUUGUCAAUUGAGGUGUUAAAUCCGUAAUUGUUUAAUUACCUCAAAAUAGUGACAACUGGCAUGAUUAGAUUUGUGUCAGGGGGAUGCGCGGGCUAAUCUGAAAUAACCCUGGUAGUGCGUUAUUUGGUUAGAAUAGGGCUCCUCUAAUUUGUAAGGCAAUUGGGGAAUUAAAUCUUAUGGGCGUACCUAAGAUUAUUUCUCAAUUAGGGCAGUGAUUAACGGGCGUACCUUAAUCACCGACACAGUAAGGAGGGGUUGACUGUCAUCGCUUGUUUGGUAGUUAUAACCUAUUUAUUGAUAAAUAAUUGGGAUUGCCUUUGCGUCGAUGAUCAAUUAGAUGAACCAUUGCUGAAGUUAUUCCUUGGCUAGAUCCUUAAUUAUCACUCAUUUGAUUUUAGUAAUUUGUUACUUAAUUUUUAGUAGUUUUUUUUAGAUUUUAUUUGAAUUUCUUCGAUUGUCACCUUCUGCACAAAAACACCCCCCUUGUCACUGUGAAUUUGAAAAGAAACAAUUACUCCCAAUCCCUGUGGAUUCGACCCUGCUUACCGCUAUCUACAGAAAUUUAUUUUAGUUUGAGCAGGUUUUAUUAUUGCGCAGGCUUCGACACCCUGUCAAUUUUUGGCGCCGUUGCCGCAGACUGGUGCCAAAUUAAUUUGUUUCUUUUUGAGUUCAUCUUGUUUUUAUUUUUUUUUAUUUAUUUUUUUUUCUCUUAUUUUUUUUUUAUAUAGUUUAUGGCUUCUAACACUUCGUACUUUGGUGAUAUACUGGAUUUUCUUUCCGGGAAAGGCGAUGAGACUAGUUUUUUCGCUAAAUCUGCAUACUCAGAGGCACUAAACUCUAUUAGAGAAAGAAUGGCUGCUGUAACCUGUAAAAUUUGUUAUGCCAGGGAUCAUUCAACCGGUAUGUGCCCCGAAUAUCAAGAUACUCUGAGUGUCCCAUUCAAUAAUUAUGGAGAUUUUUCACCCUGGUCUCAAACGUGGUAUAACCCUAAUCCAAACGGGUAUGAUCAAGGAUGGUGGGAUAACUCCAAUUAUAAUUAUUCAACGGGGCCAAUGAAUUUUCAGCAGUAUGAGUCUCAAGAAUCGUCAUCUAUGUCAGGUAUAUCUCUUGAAGAAAUAGUUGAACCAAUAGCUACUAAUACAUACCAAUUCAAACAGGAGACACAAAUGAGGAAUGAGAUGAUGAAGGAUACAAUGAGUUAUCUGGCAGAUCAACUAUGUCUAUUGACAUCCAGAAUAAAUCGAUUGGCUUCUCAAAUGGAAGAAUUGCCCUCGGAAACCAUUGUUGAUCUAGAAGAAAAUGAGAGUGCAAUUUGCUUGACUGGUGAUGAGGAGAUGCAAGAGUGUCAAAAUGAGAAAUCUACAGAUGCAGUUGAAAAAGAAGCCGAAAAGGAAGAAAUGGAACCCCAACCGCAACCCAUUCAAGUGAACGAAUCCAGUGAACAAUCUCCAAAUGCGGUGACAUCUUCUCCAUUCCUUAAUCAAUAUUUUCCUGACUCCUAUUCUUCAAUUCCUGUUACUGAAAUUGAUUUUAUUAUACCAGAAAAUUUGAAAUUUCAUGACAGGAAUAAGUUAAGAGUGGCAAUGAAAAAAUAUCUUGAACCGAUGAAUGCGUGUGGUGGAGGAGUGAAUGGAGAAUACAAAUUAUCGUUGACUUGUUUGGCGCCAUUUACUAGUCUAUGGAAGCUCGUAACUCGUAUGUCCAAGGAUUACUCUAUUUACGAGAGCUAUCAGGACUAUAUAGAGGAUGAAGCAUUAAGACGAGCCACACGAUUUUAUCCUCCAUGAACAAAACAUGAUAAUGUCUAGCCAAAGACAUUAAAGAGAGGCGCUCAUUGGGAGGCAACCCAAUUGUUUCUUUUAAUUAUUUGUUUGAUUUCGUGUGAUAGUUUAAAUAUGUUUUCCUUGAGUUUAAUUGGUUUUGGGUCUGAAAUUUUUGUUUUUGGUGAGUUGUAGGUGUCUAUCUGACUCGGCAUGCCCGCGUCAUGUUGCAGGAAAAGCUCACGGUCAGAGAGCUCUCUUGCCCUCAUGACGUGCCCGCGUCACGUUCGCGGGAAAGGUAAGGAUUCUAAAAAAAAAAAAAAAAAAAAAAAUCUUAUCACCGUAGCUUUAGUUUCCAAAAUUCAAAAAAAAAAAUUAAAAAAAUUGAUUUCCAUAGAAAAAAAAGAGAAAAAAAACCAAAAAAAAAAAAAGAAAAGAAACAAAAAUAUUUCUCACGAUAGCUCAAAUGGAACCUAAAAAAAAAAAAAAAUCUUUUUUUUCUUUUUCUUUUUCCUUCUUUUCUUUCUUUCUUUUCUUUCUUUUUCUUUCUUCUUCUUCUUUCUUUCUUUUUUCUUCUUCUCCGCUACGUCUUCUUUCCCAUUUUGGCCGCCUCUUCAAUCGCGCGCCGCCCACUUGCCCGCGUGACCGCUGCUGCCUUCCACAACCACCUCGCACGUCCUCUCUCCUCUUCGCGAGCCACCGCCACCAAAUUUUUGGUGUAAUUUCAUUUUUUAGUUUUUAUUUGUCGUGUUCAUUUUUAGUUUUUAGUUUCCAGUUUUAUUUUUAUUUUUAAGUUUUAUCAUAGAAUUUGUUGAAAAAGAAAAAAGAGAAAAAGAAAAGCAUUCAAAAAAAUAUGUUUUAGUCAUUUUGUUUUUAUUCAAUGCUUUCUUGAAAGAAAAAUGAAAAUGAAAAUAAAAAAAAAAGGGAAAAAGGAAAUUUGUUCACAAAAAUAUAUUUAUUUCUUUAAAUGCAACCUUUUUGCACUUUAGUUAUUUUUAUUAAGUUAUUUUGAGAAAAAGAAAAUGAUGAAAAAUGAAAAAUGAAACAAAAAGAUGGAAAAGUGGCCAUUUUUGUUGUUUUUAGUUGUUUAGUUUUUAAAUUAUUUUCAUUAUUAUUAUUAUUAUUAUUACCUGGUUUUGGCAAUUUGUUAUUAUUAUUAUUAUUUAUAUCAUUUCUGUAUUUAUUAAGUUAUUAAGUUCAAAAAAAAAAAAAAAUGAUACGCGGCAGCAAGCUGCGUUUUACGCAGCUUGCAAAGGAAAUCUGGGACGGCUCCUAAAGCUGCAAAUACAGGAAAAGGACUAGAGGUUUUUAGGGUUUGGGGGUCUGAUAUAUAGCAAAAAGAAAGGUAGCCGCAACAGAGGUUUUAAGGGGAACCAACGGGGGAUAGAAACACAAGCAAAAAGGAAAAGAAAGAAAAAGAGCCGAGAGUGAAAAGAGAGGAAAGAUUGAUGGUGACGGCAGGAAGUGAGCCAGAAGCUUUGUGAAGUAAGAGGGAAAAGAAGCAAAGGAAGGACUGAGUAGAGUUGAUGGCUGUGAGGGUUUAGAAACGGAGAGUUGAACGGGAAAGGGAAAAAGAGAAAAUAGCAAAGGGAAGCUAGCUGGUGGCUGGGCAAGAGGAAAAAACGCAGAAAAGAAAACAGAGGGGGGGGGGAGGUUUCGGUUUCAAUGAUCGGCGAGGAGAAAAACUUGCAACCACCACAGCAGCCAUCUCAACUCCAUCCGUUGCCUGCCCAGACUCCUUUUCAUGCUAUCAGCCCAAGCCACCACAAACCUCCAUAACCACCGCCUACAAAUGACCACCUCCAAGUUCUGUCAUCGCCACCACCGCACGCAACUUCCAUCGAGGUCACCAGACAGCAGCCACCUUUUCUUCUCUAGCGUGACCAACGAGCGGUCAACUGCCUCCCAAGAGGUCCUCCAAGGACCACCACAUCAAGGAGGAAGAAAAGCCACCACCAGUCCGCUACCAUCACUAGAACUUCCCACCACUGCCUGAAAAUAAUUUCACGAAGCAGGCGCAGGUAAGCUGUCCUUUUCUUUUAAAAAUUCUCGGUUCUGUUUAAGCUCUCAGAGCAUGUCUGCCGUGGGUUUUGAGGGGAUAGCAUCUGGGUUUGGUUAAGGACAUCAAUAGGGCUCGCUUGAUUUGUUUCAUAUAGAUGUCCUGGUUGAAUGAUGAAGUUUGAAGAAAGAACUAAAAAUUGCAGAAUGUUGAUUCCCUGUAAUUGCAUGAACUUCUGGUAUCUAAACCUAAAUUUGUAUGGUGAAAAAUGGAAAACAUGCUUGUGAACUUGUUACUUUGCUCCUAGUUGUUGUUAGUUGAGCUGUUAGUAGUGUUUGGAUAGCAAAGAAUUGCAGCAAAAGGAAACUCAAAUGCUGCAGACAUUUUUUUGUUAACUGUCGGCUCACAUUCUCGUUUGUUCCCUUGCUUGUUUUCUUCUUGUAAUGAUUUAAAUCUGUCCCUUGUGCCUUGAAGUCUCCUCCCUUGUUGCCCAAGACCGUGAAUUCCUAUGUUAGCUGGAGAGUUUUUUUAUUUAUUUGCUGUGCUACAGUUUUGCUGCUCAUGAAGUUGUCAGCUCUGCUUCUAAAGCUGUUACAUAACAACCCAUUGGCAUGAUAGCUGCCGUUAGUUUUGCAUUCGGUGUGUGAUUUUGUAUGCGUGAGGGAGUAUUUGGAAUUACAAUUUGGGUAGGAAUUUGAGGUUGGUUUUAAGUUUGAAACGUUUAUCGACAUCUCGAGUGCAUGAAAGUUUGCUGCAACAGGUCUUAAGUUCUGUUUUAUUGCAGCAAUGUUGGCAGAGUUGUUUUUUUGCUGAUGACUAAAGUUUUGUUAGCUAAAUUUGUCUUCAAAUCUGUGGGUUGUUGGAAAGUGAUGCCACUGUGUGCGUUUGCUGCAUUUUGUUGCAGCAAAACAUGGCAUAAUAACAGGCCAUAGCACCAACUUUGCUAAGUAUUCACUGCUUCAAGUUUUUACUGAUUCUAUGUUCAGUUUUCCUUGUUGUUUUCAGUAAAGUAAACAUUGGUUUUUGGUUGUUUAGUUUAGGAUUUUGAUUUCUGGUAAAGAUGUCUAGAUUGGAGCCAUGCUUUCGGACCAUAAAUAUGCAUUUGUAAAUGGAGAGGCAUCAAACUUUCGCCGGCAGAAAGCUUCUUCAUGCAUUCUUGCUUGAAGUUUUUUUCUAUGUUUGCAUGAUUUCCUCCUAUGAUUUUGCUAGUUCGGAUGUCAAGUUCAUGUUUUGUGUUGUUUGGUUCAAAAUUUGAUGUUGAAUCAAGAAAGCCUUGGGUUAAGGUAUGAGAUCAAAUCCGGGUUUAGUGUUUGAAAGUGGAACAAAGGUGCAGCAAUUUCGUUUGCUUUGUUGAAGAAUGUUCUUUCACGAUGGUUUGCAUGCAUUUGCAUGAAUAAUCUCCAGAUUUUACACUUUGGCCCCCAAGUCUCUCCUUGUUCCACUAGGACCCAAUCAAUUAAAGAAUUUCAUCAAAUUGGUCCUUGAUAAUUUUAAUUUUUGCAACUUCAUUGCUUGUUUGCUUCAAUUAACUACCAUGCUUUGUUUCAAUUGCAUUUAAUUCAUGACUUUAGGGGCUUUAUGACCAAGUGAGCUUGUGUUUGCCUAUUUUCUUUAAUUUUCUCAAAUAAAUUGGUACCUUGACCAUUUCUUUUAUUUUGGAGGAUAAAUAAGUGAUUUCACUUCAUUGGGGCCCAAUUGCAAGGGAGGUAACCUCUAUCUCCUUGAAUUUCAUUUCUCCUAUGUGAUCCUACGUGUUAUGUGAAUAUGCAUGUCUACUCCGCUUUCCUUACCUCCUUGCGUGCAUUUACUUGCUUUCACUUUUAUUUAAGUUUUAUGGGGUAUGUGUACACCUCUUGGCUUGUAAUAGAUAGGGCUCGGAGAGCAUCUGGUCCAUUUCCCCUUUCCCUUUAUGUUUUUAUGGGGUAUGUGUACACCUCUUGGCUUGUAAUAGAUAGGGCUCGUAGAGCAUCUGGUCCAUUUCCCCUUCCCCUUGGUUGCUUGUUUUUGUUGCUACAUGUUUAAUUGCUUUAAUAGGCUCUUGCAUCUAGUCGAGCAUGCUAAGUGCUACGUGCUACGUGUUUACGAGCGUUUUGGCAUGUCUACUUGCUUUCAUAACCAUGAAUGAAUGGAAUGGAUGAAUGUACGUCACCACGCUAGUUCAAUGCUAGUUGUGGCUCAUUAUUUCAUUAGGAAUUCAUAGAAAGGGCUAGUCCAACGCUAGACCCAAUAGGAUUUUUCCUUUGUUUUUCAUUAAUGCAUUGUUUGCCUGUUCACUACAUAUCAUGCAUUUUUCCUUAGUUUUAUCAUCUGGCAUGCUCCUCGAUUCCCCUUGCCCCUCACUUUAGGUCUUGCAUCUCAUGCUAGUUAGGGUACAUUUGCCUGAAGAGUCCCCUUCUGAUAAGGGAAACGAGCGAGUGUGGCUACUCGAUAGCCUUAGCACGCUAGUUCCCCCUUCUAUCAAAGGAAAAAUCAAGUCACAAAGUUAGGACUCCCCGUUCCCGUUUUGAUGCAUUCCUAUAGAAUGUGAGCCGACAGUUAACAAAAAAAUGUCUGCAGCAUUUGAGUUUCCUUUUGCUGCAAUUCUUUGCUAUCCAAACACUACUAACAGCUCAACUAACAACAACUAGGAGCAAAGUAACAAGUUCACAAGCAUGUUUUCCAUUUUUCACCAUACAAAUUUAGGUUUAGAUACCAGAAGUUCAUGCAAUUACAGGGAAUCAACAUUCUGCAAUUUUUAGUUCUUUCUUCAAACUUCAUCAUUCAACCAGGACAUCUAUAUGAAACAAAUCAAGCGAGCCCUAUUGAUGUCCUUAACCAAACCCAGAUGCUAUCCCCUCAAAACCCACGGCAGACAUGCUCUGAGAGCUUAAACAGAACCGAGAAUUUUUAAAAGAAAAGGACAGCUUACCUGCGCCUGCUUCGUGAAAUUAUUUUCAGGCAGUGGUGGGAAGUUCUAGUGAUUGUAGCGGACUGGUGGUGGCUUUUCUUCCUCCUUGAUGUGGUGGUCCUUGGAGGACCUCUUGGGAGGCAGUUGACCGCUCGUUGGUCACGCUAGAGAAGAAAAGGUGGCUGCUGUCUGGUGACCUCGAUGGAAGUUGCGUGCGGUGGUGGCGAUGACAGAACUUGGAGGUGGUCAUUUGUAGGCGGUGGUUAUGGAGGUUUGUGGUGGCUUGGGCUGAUAGCAUGAAAAGGAGUCUGGGCAGGCAACGGAUGGAGUUGAGAUGGCUGCUGUGGUGGUUGCAAGUUUUUCUCCUCGCCGAUCAUUGAAACCGAAACCUCCCCCCCCCCUCUGUUUUCUUUUCUGCGUUUUUUCCUCUUGCCCAGCCACCAGCUAGCUUCCCUUUGCUAUUUUCUCUUUUUCCCUUUCCCGUUCAACUCUCCGUUUCUAAACCCUCACAGCCAUCAACUCUACUCAGUCCUUCCUUUGCUUCUUUUCCCUCUUACUUCACAAAGCUUCUGGCUCACUUCCUGCCGUCACCAUCAAUCUUUCCUCUCUUUUCACUCUCGGCUCUUUUUCUUUCUUUUCCUUUUUGCUUGUGUUUCUAUCCCCCGUUGGUUCCCCUUAAAACCUCUGUUGCGGCUACCUUUCUUUUUGCUAUAUAUCAGACCCCCAAACCCUAAAAACCUCUAGUCCUUUUCCUGUAUUUGCAGCUUUGGGAGCCGUCCCAGAUUUCCUUUGCAAGCUGCGUAAAACGCAGCUUGCUGCCGCGUAUCAUUUUUUUUUUUUUUUUUUGAACUUAAUAACUUAAUAAAUACAGAAAUGAUAUAAAUAAUAAUAAUAAUAACAAAUUGCCAAAACCAGGUAAUAAUAAUAAUAAUAAUAAUGAAAAUAAUUUAAAAACUAAACAACUAAAAACAACAAAAAUGGCCACUUUUCCAUCUUUUUGUUUCAUUUUUCAUUUUUCAUCAUUUUCUUUUUCUCAAAAUAACUUAAUAAAAAUAACUAAAGUGCAAAAAGGUUGCAUUUAAAGAAAUAAAUAUAUUUUUGUGAACAAAUUUCCUUUUUCCCUUUUUUUUAUUUUCAUUUUCAUUUUUCUUUCAAGAAAGCAUUGAAUAAAAACAAAAUGACUAAAACAUAUUUUUUUGAAUGCUUUUCUUUUUCUCUUUUUUCUUUUUCAACAAAUUCUAUGAUAAAACUUAAAAAUAAAAAUAAAACUGGAAACUAAAAACUAAAAAUGAACACGACAAAUAAAAACUAAAAAAUGAAAUUACACCAAAAAUUUGGUGUCUACAGUUUGCCCCUCUUUGUCUGAGUUUUGAAAAAAUUUGAGACAAAGAAGUAGACACCAAAUACUUACCAGUGUUAUUCGGUUGCAAAAAUGAUCUGAACGGACAGGAAUUCUAAAAUGGGACUGACCCGAACAUGAAUUUAAAAUUGGGGAUAGACCCACGGGAUAGACCCGGACAGAAAUGUAAAAUUGGGAUAGACCCACGGGAUUAAAAAUGGGAUAGACCCACGGGAUAGACCCGGACAGAAAUUUAAAAUUGGGAUAGACCCACGGGAUAGACCCGGAUAGACAGAAAUUUAAAAUUGGGAUAGACCCACGGGAUAGACCCGGACAGAAAUGUAAAAUUGGGAUAGACCCGGACAGAAAUGUAAAAUUGGAUUUGAUCUGUCAAGAUAUAAGAAAUUAAAUUUUGAUUUUCCAAGAAACAAAAAUUUGAACUUGAUUUUCGAUUUUUGACUUUUGAAUUUUUCUGAUUUUUCGAGAGAAUCUUUUUCCAAAAAUAAUUUGCCCCAGUGUAGGGCCCUUUUCCCUUCUUUCUUCUCUUUCUUCGGCAUCGGCUUUCUACAUCGCCAGAUGCUUUUCGUCGACUUCAACUGUGAAUACCUGCACAGGGCUUACGUGCACUCAAAUGAGCGUGACUGAUUUGAAAAAUGCAUUAUUUUGAUUCUUGGACGAAAUCCUCAAUUGGCCUACAAAAAUAUUUGCCCCUGUGUGGGCUUAUUUUGCAAAAUUUUGCAAAUAAAAAUUUUGCCCCAGUUUGGGCCCAUUUGAUUGCAAAAAUUGGUUUAGAUGAUUUCCCAUUUACUUGAACAAAGAAAAACCGCACUUUCUAAAAUUUAGAAAAGAGUGCACAUACAACAAUGUGAAGAAACUUUAAUCGUCAAGUUUGAACUCAUGCAGAAAUUUCAUGAUGAAUUCCUCAAAAUAAUGCCAAAUUACAAGAUAUUUCUUCCUUACCUUAGCAUCGAAGCUUUGGGUAAUGGGCGUUAUUUCUGACUUGGAAAUGGGAGGCCAAGAUUUGUCUUAUUUUGUGCUCAUUCGAUAUCACGUCUUCAUGAAAGCAAAGAGUUUAUCACCUUAUUUUUAAGAAAACGUAGUCACAUACAGCUUUAUAGGCUUGCAAUAAACGGAUGGAAACGAUAGCUAAAACAUGAAAAAACUGGUUGUUCCCUUAUGAUCACAAAUGAUUGAUGGAUUUCUUACGAGCAUAGUCGUCACUUUGGAUUGUCAUGAAGGAAUAAGUCAACGAUGGACUUUAUGAGCUUGUAAUGUGGCUUGAAAACGAUAGCUAAAGAAUAAAACUUUCAAGGACAUUACACCACAUAUCGUAUUUUUCAACAUUGCCUUCAUCUGGACUCCAGAUUCUUGGAUUUUGUUUGACUUUUUAUCAUCACCCAACAGGGUCUUUCAACAUCAAAUCUUUUUGCAUCUUUCUUUUGCAUUCAUUUCGCUCGUUUUUCUUUUCUUUCUCCCCCCCUUCUCGGGGUUUCAUAUGAAAGCAGUGUCAACCUCACGCCAAAUCAAUUCAGAAUACAGCAAAAUUUUCGACAUCAGAAAUUUUCUUAACAGGGCCAUUGCAAAGAAUAGAAGUCAGGGCUUUCGGCUUUUGUAAUGGGGUCAGGUGGGGUGCUUAGAAAAGUUAAGGCUUGAAAGCGGAUUUCAAAGCGGUUUGAAAAAUCUGAGAUCGCAUGUUGCGCAACCCUAUUUUAGGGUUAAAUCAGAAUUUGCCCCAGUUUUGCUCAAUGAGGCUUUUCACUUUCAUUUUCUUUUUCUUUUGACUUUUCGGCUUUUGCCAUUCUUUGAAAUUUGCCCCAAUUUAUUUUUGAACUGAGGUUCUCUUUUCUUCUUUUGAUUUGGAUUUUGUGCUUUUCACUUUUCACUUCUUGAAAUUUCCUUUUCAACCAAACUCGCCCCAGUGUGGGGUUUGCGAUUCUCAGGGGUUGCCAAACGAAAUAAUCCAUUCUGAUGGCUCAAAAGGGAUAACUAGGGAUAGAAUGUUCGAUUGGAAAAGAAGAUGGCCUGACUUGUAUUCCGUUCCUUACAAUAACUCUGAAAGGAAAUUUUCAUUAAUGGGAAAUUUUUGGCAUGUAUCUGAAUUAACUGAUUGGGGAAGACCCUUGUUCAUCCAUAUUUGUGAAACAUAGGUGAUCCACGCGGACAAAUCUCUUCCCUCUUUUUUCCAAAUUCGGAACCCAAGUGGAGUCAAAUUUCCCCAAUUUGCGGUUCCCUCCCUAUUUUAGCAUUUUUGCUUUUCCCCUUUUCUUUUCCUUUUUAAAAUUUCCCAAUCUCCUUCCCCAAUGCGAGGUACGAUCAUAAGUGCAUUCGAAAAGAACCACCAAUUUUAGCUCAAAUGAGGACGCAAGGGAUAAAUGGUGUUUAGAUUGAAGAAAUGAUGGCCAAAGUAUCAUUCUUACACUUCAUGACAACCAGAGUAACGAAAUGCUCAUUGACAAUCCAUUCCCUUUUGAAAGUUUUCCAAUGUAGGGUAGAGAUCAUUAAGGCGUUUAUUUGGAAGGAAAUUAUUCUUCUAUAGGCUCAAAUGGGAGAGCAAAUGAUAAAAAUCUGUAUAGGUAGUGAAACGAAUGCUUGAAGUAUCAUUCCAAAUUUUCAAACAAAUAAGAAUAAUGCACAUUUUUGCUUUCACUUAGAUGUGAUUGAAUCGAAUUAGUUACCGCGGACAUUUUCAAGCAAAAGUUGCCCCAAUUUACAAUUUAUCAAUCAAUGUGACUGAUUUUAUUUUGGGGUCAAAUGAAGGAGAAAAGGAAUCUCAUAGGGCCUUUUGAGUGACCUCUUUUAAUUCUGAACACUCUUAUUAUGAAUUUUCAGGCCGGAGGUUGAAAAAAUCCCAAUUUAGUCUUAUUUCUUAAAAUUCAUCAUGAACUCUCCAAUGAAUAAGAAUAAAGAAUGAAAUGUACAUAAAUAUACACAAAACAAUGAUUGUCCAAAAAUUUUAUUGCUGAAAAAGUUUGAAACAAAAUUUCUCAUUCAAUUACGAUACAAAUGAGGAUAGAAAACUUCUAAAGAGCUCCACAUAUAUAUCCUUUUUGUCUUCAUUUCUUUUGACACAAAAAUAUAUUAACAAGUCAAAUAUACAGAAUUUUCCUUGAAAGCGAUUGUGAAAUCUCUUAGAAGCUCUCAGCCUAGAGCUUUCAAAUGGGUCUUUCAUGUUUCCAUUGUUGGAUCUACCCAAGAAUCAAUAUAGGAAAAUAUUUUCAUCUUAUUGAAACAUUUUUUAAUGAAUGCAGGGGAGGGGGAAAACAAAAGAAAAAUACCCAAAGUUAGUAAUCAAAACCAUAGAAUCAGUAUGCAUGCCCUAUGGGGGAACCCUUUUAUGCCAAGGGUAGGCCUAGCAUGAAAAUGCAAUCCUCUAGGGUAGGCACCAUACAAUACCUGAUGGAUCCAAUCAGCUUAUGGAGUGAAAAAUAAUUUAAAAAAAUUUGGCCCACUGGAAUGAAAAGAGACAUUUGUCCUAAAAUGAGGGAAAAGUCCGAAUGGAUUGCUACUUUGAUCGAUGCAUGAAAUAAUGUGUAAAAGGGGCUGAUUGGAAUGUCUCAAUUAAUUUAUUCGGUGACCCUUAGACUUAAACCCUAAAAAGGGAAAAAACGGGUCAAAUGGAUUGGAUAAAAUUGAUGAUUUAUUUAAAAAUGACCAAAUUGCCCUAAAAAUAGGUAAACUGGUCAAAUGAAUGAAAUGAAAUUUGAUUUAUUCAAAAAUUGAUCGAAUCACCCUAAAAAGGGUAGAUUGGUCAAAUGAAUUGACGAUUUAUUCAAAAUCGACCGAAUGACCCUAAAAAGGGUAGAUUGGUCAAAAGAUUUGAUGAUUUAUUCAAAAUCGACCGAAUGACCCUAAAAAGGGUAAAUUGGUCAAAGGAAUGGUUUAUUUAAAAUCGAUUAUGAAUUGACAAAAUGGAUUGAUCGAAUCGGCCGGCCAUUGGUGGUUUCAGAAAAUCAGUCUAUGAGCCUUCUAAAAUCACAAUUUGGCCUCAAUUUAUUUAUCAUCUCAAUAGGAGGAAUCAUUUGUGAAUUUCUUCAAAUUAAUGUCCUUCGCGCAAGGGAUUUUUACCAAUUUUUGAUAAAAUGGCCAAAAAGUGAUUAUUAGAUGCUCAUAUUCCAAAGAUCACUCUAUGAAAAUGAUCGGAUCCUACCUUACCUUGUGCACUACCCCUUUGGAUGGUACAAAAUGUAAACGUGCAAGUCUCACUGGAUUAAGUAUCCGAGACACAAGGUGGCUUAUUCCUAAACACGGGAUUCCCUAUGUGGCAUUCCCUUUCUAUGGUUUAUGCAUGAUGCCAGUUUAUUAAAGCGAUGUAAAUAUGUGACAAAUAUGGCUAAAGGACAUAAAUAAUGCAUCGGGGGGAAAAGGUCUAAAAUGAAAUGUAUUAUUGAAAAGUAAGCAAAGACUGAAAUUUAGACAUGUGAGCUAUCUAGUGGGUGAGUCACUAAAAGAGUGCCAAAGAGGCCUCUUAUUGCUAAGGCACAUGAAUGCAAGCCAGGAAAACAAAAGAAUGGUUAGUGCAAUUGAUAGUACACAUAACACAUUGGGAGCAAUUAAGAAAAGAAAUACAAUAAAAGCAAGUAAAAGGGGUGGAACCCCUUCCCUCGUGCCUAAUGUGCUUAAAAAGGGUGAGGCUGACUCUACCCUAGGCAAAUGCUAAUAUGGAUGCAUGAGGUGGUUCACUAAUGCCUAGACUCGAUAAAGCUUCGGCUCCCAAGCCUUCAGACCUAAAGGCGAAGGGUCAUCACUCCCAGGGCCUUUGAUCGGUGGCUCGAGUGAUCCCUUAGGUAGCGCUAUGGGCGCAGAGCACACCAGCCGCCUACCCAAGGCGAUCGAUCCUAAUCCUACAAGGCGGUGUGGGAAACGCCCACGAAAAACAAAAUAAAAUGGGAUAAAAGCAAGUAAACGUGCACGUAUGAAGUGUUCCCCUAUUUUGAGGGAAGGGGUGAGAACCACACGAGGCUCUAAAGGCGACACACCCCCCCAAAUGCAAUGCAAGCGCGAGAUAAAUAAGUAAACAUACAUCCAAUCAACCAAUCACACGUACGUGAGUGAGGGAAUAGUUGGAUACGCGCACGAGGCAAAAGGCCCUAAAAAUGGAAAGUGCAACCCUAAUAUCCAAAUGCAAUGCAUAAAAAAGGGUAGAAAAAGGAAAAGAAUGGCCAAGUCAAAUGCUCGGACCCACUUAGGAAGUCCCCAGUGGAGUCGCCAACUGUCGCGCCCCACUUUUCGAUUGUGUGGAUGUGUGAUGUGUGGUGUGUAAUGCGGUGUGAACGUGUGCAAAAUGAAAAGUAAAAAGGCCAUGGGAUUUUGGAAAGCGACGAUUUGGCCAAAUGAAAUUUUAAAAAGGGUUUUUUAAAUAUGAAAACGGAGUCGCCACUUGGUAUAGAUUUGGGGUGUACCAAGUCACCCAAAAAGUGUUUUUUAAAGACAAAGUAGUAAAACCCCUUUUAAAACGACUCCUAGUCCACGUAAGCCAAAGAAAAAGGUUCGGGGGUCACGUUUGACAAAAGGGAAGGCAAGGAUAGAAUCCAAGGCACCCCUUUGACCUAGCCAAGGCUAGUUGCGCGACUCAAACCAAUUUUUCCUAGUUUUUCUACCCAAGGUAUGUAUCGCGUAUUGGAUAUGUCUAUAUGGAUGCAAAAACCUAGACCUAGGGGGAUUGGGGGAAAUUUCUCUUCAAAGGUUGGGUGGUGCCAAUCACAUUAAUUGUGAAGCCCAAUAAUGAUCCUUUUGGAGAGGUCACACCUAAACCUAAAUGACGUGAAAAAUGAGUGGAAUGCAUGCCAUGUGAAAGUGUGAGUUUGUGUGAAGUGAGAAAAUGAUAAAAGUAAUAAGAUAUAAGUGGAUGUGUGCAAAUGUCUUUACAAGGUAAGGUAAGUGAAGAAUAAUAAGGUGAAAACGCCAUUAAGUGCAUGUGUGCGAGUGAUAUGGUAUAGAGUGUAAGUAGUUGAAUAAAAACGUGUAAAAUGAAAGUAGUGUGAAGUGAGAAUAUAGAAAGAGGAAUGGAAUAUACAGUAAGUGAUAGUGAAUGAAUGAAAUGCGUGAAUCCUAUAGGAAUGCAUCAAAACGGGAACGGGGAGUCCUAACUUUGUGACUUGAUUUUUCCUUUGAUAGAAGGGGGAACUAGCGUGCUAAGGCUAUCGAGUAGCCACACUCGCUCGUUUCCCUUAUCAGAAGGGGACUCUUCAGGCAAAUGUACCCUAACUAGCAUGAGAUGCAAGACCUAAAGUGAGGGGCAAGGGGAAUCGAGGAGCAUGCCAGAUGAUAAAACUAAGGAAAAAUGCAUGAUAUGUAGUGAACAGGCAAACAAUGCAUUAAUGAAAAACAAAGGAAAAAUCCUAUUGGGUCUAGCGUUGGACUAGCCCUUUCUAUGAAUUCCUAAUGAAAUAAUGAGCCACAACUAGCAUUGAACUAGCGUGGUGACGUACAUUCAUCCAUUCCAUUCAUUCAUGGUUAUGAAAGCAAGUAGACAUGCCAAAACGCUCGUAAACACGUAGCACGUAGCACUUAGCAUGCUCGACUAGAUGCAAGAGCCUAUUAAAGCAAUUAAACAUGUAGCAACAAAAACAAGCAACCAAGGGGAAGGGGAAAUGGACCAGAUGCUCUACGAGCCCUAUCUAUUACAAGCCAAGAGGUGUACACAUACCCCAUAAAAACAUAAAGGGAAAGGGGAAAUGGACCAGAUGCUCUCCGAGCCCUAUCUAUUACAAGCCAAGAGGUGUACACAUACCCCAUAAAACUUAAAUAAAAGUGAAAGCAAGUAAAUGCACGCAAGGAGGUAAGGAAAGCGGAGUAGACAUGCAUAUUCACAUAACACGUAGGAUCACAUAGGAGAAAUGAAAUUCAAGGAGAUAGAGGUUACCUCCCUUGCAAUUGGGCCCCAAUGAAGUGAAAUCACUUAUUUAUCCUCCAAAAUAAAAGAAAUGGUCAAGGUACCAAUUUAUUUGAGAAAAUUAAAGAAAAUAGGCAAACACAAGCUCACUUGGUCAUAAAGCCCCUAAAGUCAUGAAUUAAAUGCAAUUGAAACAAAGCAUGGUAGUUAAUUGAAGCAAACAAGCAAUGAAGUUGCAAAAAUUAAAAUUAUCAAGGAUCAAUUUGAUGAAAUUCUUUAAUUGAUUGGGUCCUAGUGGAACAAGGAGAGACUUGGGGGCCAAAGUGUAAAAUCUGGAGAUUAUUCAUGCAAAUGCAUGCAAACCAUCGUGAAAGAACAUUCUUCAACAAAGCAAACGAAAUUGCUGCACCUUUGUUCCACUUUCAAACACUAAACCCGGAUUUGAUCUCAUACCUUAACCCAAGGCUUUCUUGAUUCAACAUCAAAUUUUGAACCAAACAACACAAAACAUGAACUUGACAUCCGAACUAGCAAAAUCAUAGGAGGAAAUCAUGCAAACAUAGAAAAAAACUUCAAGCAAGAAUGCAUGAAGAAGCUUUCUGCCGGCGAAAGUUUGAUGCCUCUCCAUUUACAAAUGCAUAUUUAUGGUCCGAAAGCAUGGCUCCAAUCUAGACAUCUUUACCAGAAAUCAAAAUCCUAAACUAAACAACCAAAAACCAAUGUUUACUUUACUGAAAACAACAAGGAAAACUGAACAUAGAAUCAGUAAAAACUUGAAGCAGUGAAUACUUAGCAAAGUUGGUGCUAUGGCCUGUUAUUAUGCCAUGUUUUGCUGCAACAAAAUGCAGCAAACGCACACAGUGGCAUCACUUUCCAACAACCCACAGAUUUGAAGACAAAUUUAGCUAACAAAACUUUAGUCAUCAGCAAAAAAACAACUCUGCCAACAUUGCUGCAAUAAAACAGAACUUAAGACCUGUUGCAGCAAACUUUCAUGCACUCGAGAUGUCGAUAAACGUUUCAAACUUAAAACCAACCUCAAAUUCCUACCCAAAUUGUAAUUCCAAAUACUCCCUCACGCAUACAAAAUCACACACCGAAUGCAAAACUAACGGCAGCUAUCAUGCCAAUGGGUUGUUAUGUAACAGCUUUAGAAGCAGAGCUGACAACUUCAUGAGCAGCAAAACUGUAGCACAGCAAAUAAAUAAAAAAACUCUCCAGCUAACAUAGGAAUUCACGGUCUUGGGCAACAAGGGAGGAGACUUCAAGGCACAAGGGACAGAUUUAAAUCAUUACAAGAAGAAAACAAGCAAGGGAACAAACGAGAAUGUGAGCCGACAGUUAACAAAAAAAUGUCUGCAGCAUUUGAGUUUCCUUUUGCUGCAAUUCUUUGCUAUCCAAACACUACUAACAGCUCAACUAACAACAACUAGGAGCAAAGUAACAAGUUCACAAGCAUGUUUUCCAUUUUUCACCAUACAAAUUUAGGUUUAGAUACCAGAAGUUCAUGCAAUUACAGGGAAUCAACAUUCUGCAAUUUUUAGUUCUUUCUUCAAACUUCAUCAUUCAACCAGGACAUCUAUAUGAAACAAAUCAAGCGAGCCCUAUUGAUGUCCUUAACCAAACCCAGAUGCUAUCCCCUCAAAACCCACGGCAGACAUGCUCUGAGAGCUUAAACAGAACCGAGAAUUUUUAAAAGAAAAGGACAGCUUACCUGCGCCUGCUUCGUGAAAUUAUUUUCAGGCAGUGGUGGGAAGUUCUAGUGAUGGUAGCGGACUGGUGGUGGCUUUUCUUCCUCCUUGAUGUGGUGGUCCUUGGAGGACCUCUUGGGAGGCAGUUGACCGCUCGUUGGUCACGCUAGAGAAGAAAAGGUGGCUGCUGUCUGGUGACCUCGAUGGAAGUUGCGUGCGGUGGUGGCGAUGACAGAACUUGGAGGUGGUCAUUUGUAGGCGGUGGUUAUGGAGGUUUGUGGUGGCUUGGGCUGAUAGCAUGAAAAGGAGUCUGGGCAGGCAACGGAUGGAGUUGAGAUGGCUGCUGUGGUGGUUGCAAGUUUUUCUCCUCGCCGAUCAUUGAAACCGAAACCUCCCCCCCCCCUCUGUUUUCUUUUCUGCGUUUUUUCCUCUUGCCCAGCCACCAGCUAGCUUCCCUUUGCUAUUUUCUCUUUUUCCCUUUCCCGUUCAACUCUCCGUUUCUAAACCCUCACAGCCAUCAACUCUACUCAGUCCUUCCUUUGCUUCUUUUCCCUCUUACUUCACAAAGCUUCUGGCUCACUUCCUGCCGUCACCAUCAAUCUUUCCUCUCUUUUCACUCUCGGCUCUUUUUCUUUCUUUUCCUUUUUGCUUGUGUUUCUAUCCCCCGUUGGUUCCCCUUAAAACCUCUGUUGCGGCUACCUUUCUUUUUGCUAUAUAUCAGACCCCCAAACCCUAAAAACCUCUAGUCCUUUUCCUGUAUUUGCAGCUUUGGGAGCCGUCCCAGAUUUCCUUUGCAAGCUGCGUAAAACGCAGCUUGCUGCCGCGUAUCAUUUUUUUUUUUUUUUUUUGAACUUAAUAACUUAAUAAAUACAGAAAUGAUAUAAAUAAUAAUAAUAAUAACAAAUUGCCAAAACCAGGUAAUAAUAAUAAUAAUAAUAAUGAAAAUAAUUUAAAAACUAAACAACUAAAAACAACAAAAAUGGCCACUUUUCCAUCUUUUUGUUUCAUUUUUCAUUUUUCAUCAUUUUCUUUUUCUCAAAAUAACUUAAUAAAAAUAACUAAAGUGCAAAAAGGUUGCAUUUAAAGAAAUAAAUAUAUUUUUGUGAACAAAUUUCCUUUUUCCCUUUUUUUUAUUUUCAUUUUCAUUUUUCUUUCAAGAAAGCAUUGAAUAAAAACAAAAUGACUAAAACAUAUUUUUUUGAAUGCUUUUCUUUUUCUCUUUUUUCUUUUUCAACAAAUUCUAUGAUAAAACUUAAAAAUAAAAAUAAAACUGGAAACUAAAAACUAAAAAUGAACACGACAAAUAAAAACUAAAAAAUGAAAUUACACCAAAAAUUUGGUGUCUACAGUUUGCCCCUCUUUGUCUGAGUUUUGAAAAAAUUUGAGACAAAGAAGUAGACACCAAAUACUUACCAGUGUUAUUCGGUUGCAAAAAUGAUCUGAACGGACAGGAAUUCUAAAAUGGGACUGACCCGAACAUGAAUUUAAAAUUGGGGAUAGACCCACGGGAUAGACCCGGACAGAAAUGUAAAAUUGGGAUAGACCCACGGGAUAGACCCGGACAGAAAUUUAAAAUUGGGAUAGACCCACGGGAUAGACCCGGACAGAAAUGUAAAAUUGGGAUAGACCCACGGGAUAGACCCGGACAGAAAUUGUUGUUUAGUUUAGGAUUUUGAUUUCUGGUAAAGAUGUCUAGAUUGGAGCCAUGCUUUCGGACCAUAAAUAUGCAUUUGUAAAUGGAGAGGCAUCAAACUUUCGCCGGCAGAAAGCUUCUUCAUGCAUUCUUGCUUGAAGUUUUUUUCUAUGUUUGCAUGAUUUCCUCCUAUGAUUUUGCUAGUUCGGAUGUCAAGUUCAUGUUUUGUGUUGUUUGGUUCAAAAUUUGAUGUUGAAUCAAGAAAGCCUUGGGUUAAGGUAUGAGAUCAAAUCCGGGUUUAGUGUUUGAAAGUGGAACAAAGGUGCAGCAAUUUCGUUUGCUUUGUUGAAGAAUGUUCUUUCACGAUGGUUUGCAUGCAUUUGCAUGAAUAAUCUCCAGAUUUUACACUUUGGCCCCCAAGUCUCUCCUUGUUCCACUAGGACCCAAUCAAUUAAAGAAUUUCAUCAAAUUGGUCCUUGAUAAUUUUAAUUUUUGCAACUUCAUUGCUUGUUUGCUUCAAUUAACUACCAUGCUUUGUUUCAAUUGCAUUUAAUUCAUGACUUUAGGGGCUUUAUGACCAAGUGAGCUUGUGUUUGCCUAUUUUCUUUAAUUUUCUCAAAUAAAUUGGUACCUUGACCAUUUCUUUUAUUUUGGAGGAUAAAUAAGUGAUUUCACUUCAUUGGGGCCCAAUUGCAAGGGAGGUAACCUCUAUCUCCUUGAAUUUCAUUUCUCCUAUGUGAUCCUACGUGUUAUGUGAAUAUGCAUGUCUACUCCGCUUUCCUUACCUCCUUGCGUGCAUUUACUUGCUUUCACUUUUAUUUAAGUUUUAUGGGGUAUGUGUACACCUCUUGGCUUGUAAUAGAUAGGGCUCGGAGAGCAUCUGGUCCAUUUCCCCUUUCCCUUUAUGUUUUUAUGGGGUAUGUGUACACCUCUUGGCUUGUAAUAGAUAGGGCUCGUAGAGCAUCUGGUCCAUUUCCCCUUCCCCUUGGUUGCUUGUUUUUGUUGCUACAUGUUUAAUUGCUUUAAUAGGCUCUUGCAUCUAGUCGAGCAUGCUAAGUGCUACGUGCUACGUGUUUACGAGCGUUUUGGCAUGUCUACUUGCUUUCAUAACCAUGAAUGAAUGGAAUGGAUGAAUGUACGUCACCACGCUAGUUCAAUGCUAGUUGUGGCUCAUUAUUUCAUUAGGAAUUCAUAGAAAGGGCUAGUCCAACGCUAGACCCAAUAGGAUUUUUCCUUUGUUUUUCAUUAAUGCAUUGUUUGCCUGUUCACUACAUAUCAUGCAUUUUUCCUUAGUUUUAUCAUCUGGCAUGCUCCUCGAUUCCCCUUGCCCCUCACUUUAGGUCUUGCAUCUCAUGCUAGUUAGGGUACAUUUGCCUGAAGAGUCCCCUUCUGAUAAGGGAAACGAGCGAGUGUGGCUACUCGAUAGCCUUAGCACGCUAGUUCCCCCUUCUAUCAAAGGAAAAAUCAAGUCACAAAGUUAGGACUCCCCGUUCCCGUUUUGAUGCAUUCCUAUAGGAUUCACGCAUUUCAUUCAUUCACUAUCACUUACUGUAUAUUCCAUUCCUCUUUCUAUAUUCUCACUUCACACUACUUUCAUUUUACACGUUUUUAUUCAACUACUUACACUCUAUACCAUAUCACUCGCACACAUGCACUUAAUGGCGUUUUCACCUUAUUAUUCUUCACUUACCUUACCUUGUAAAGACAUUUGCACACAUCCACUUAUAUCUUAUUACUUUUAUCAUUUUCUCACUUCACACAAACUCACACUUUCACAUGGCAUGCAUUCCACUCAUUUUUCACGUCAUUUAGGUUUAGGUGUGACCUCUCCAAAAGGAUCAUUAUUGGGCUUCACAAUUAAUGUGAUUGGCACCACCCAACCUUUGAAGAGAAAUUUCCCCCAAUCCCCCUAGGUCUAGGUUUUUGCAUCCAUAUAGACAUAUCCAAUACGCGAUACAUACCUUGGGUAGAAAAACUAGGAAAAAUUGGUUUGAGUCGCGCAACUAGCCUUGGCUAGGUCAAAGGGGUGCCUUGGAUUCUAUCCUUGCCUUCCCUUUUGUCAAACGUGACCCCCGAACCUUUUUCUUUGGCUUACGUGGACUAGGAGUCGUUUUAAAAGGGGUUUUACUACUUUGUCUUUAAAAAACACUUUUUGGGUGACUUGGUACACCCCAAAUCUAUACCAAGUGGCGACUCCGUUUUCAUAUUUAAAAAACCCUUUUUAAAAUUUCAUUUGGCCAAAUCGUCGCUUUCCAAAGUCCCAUGGCCUUUUUACUUUUCAUUUUGCACACGUUCACACCGCAUUACACACCACACAUCACACAUCCACACAAUCGAAAAGUGGGGCGCGACAGUUGGCGACUCCACUGGGGACUUCCUAAGUGGGUCCGAGCAUUUGACUUGGCCAUUCUUUUCCUUUUUCUACCCUUUUUUAUGCAUUGCAUUUGGAUAUUAGGGUUGCACUUUCCAUUUUUAGGGCCUUUUGCCUCGUGCGCGUAUCCAACUAUUCCCUCACUCACGUACGUGUGAUUGGUUGAUUGGAUGUAUGUUUACUUAUUUAUCUCGCGCUUGCAUUGCAUUUUGCACACGUUCACACCGCAUUACACACCACACAUCACACAUCCACACAAUCGAAAAGUGGGGCGCGACAGCCAACCAGCAGCACGCCGCCACAUCUCUCUCCAUCUCGCCGCCGCCAACCAGCCAUAUACCUCCUCGUGCGAGCUCCACCUGCUCGCAACUCCCCUCACCAGCUUUCUCUUCGCCAUCGAUCCAUCGCGGCCACGAGGAGCUUUGCCGCCGCCGCUGCUCAACGCCUCCACCGCGAGCUACCGCCAGCAGCACCAUAGGCAGCACCCACCUCGUGUCUCCGCCAGCGACGACCAGCUCGUGCGCCGCCGCCGCUCACCAACCACGCGCAGGCCACCUCGCAGCUCUCUCUUCAGCCGCGACCCCUCCGCACGCCACGCAGCUCCGACCGCGCGCUCCACCAGCUCUCCUUCACUGUCGCGCGCUUUGCCCGAGCCGACGCCGUCGCUGCUGUAGUCGCGCGCCGCCGCCCGUGCCCACGCGUAGUCGCGCUCCCUCGCAGCUCCAGCCCAAGGACGCCGCCUUUCCCCCGCGUCCUACACAGCGCCUCUUUUUCUUAGCCACUACUGCCCCAGUUUCUUCAUUCGGCCACUGGGAGAGGUAUUUGCUACUAAAUCCCCAAUUUUUGGUUUGUAUUGGAUUCACUUGAGGGUUUGUCAGUAGAGUGAAGUGGCAAUUGGAUUUUCUGCCUUAACCGUGCGGUGCACCAGUGCUAGCAAUUGUGCUAUUUUCCGUCGUAUUGUUGUGCUAUUUUGCUAUACCUGUGGUACUGGUGGAGUAACUGGACCUUGAUUUGGUACCUCUAUCUGGUUGACUGCGUUUGUAGUGUCAAAUAUCUAAGCCGUUUUCAUUGAAAUUGUUGAUUUUGAAUUAAGAUUUUAACUGGCCAACUGGAGCCAUUUGUUGAAAUUUUGGGUAAGCUGAAAUAUUGCACUUGUUUGUUAAAUUGGGAAGUUUCUAUGCUAUUUACAUUGCUUCCUCCAGUUGGGUGCAUCUAAUUGAAUUGCUGAGAAAUAUUCUGACCAUUGCUUUCAACUACUAAGUUCGUUGAGGUUUCUUUUAGGAUUCUGGUUGAGUUAUUUCUAAUAUUGCCUAUUGAAUCAGGAGCUUGUGCUGCUUAAUUUGCCCCGUUAGGAGCUGGUUUGCUUGUUAGAAUUUUCUGUGACGGUUAACUAACGUGUUCAUCUUAGUGACUUCAACUAUUUCGUUGGGUGGAAGUGAAUUCUGUGCUUUGAACCAUUAGGUCGUUGAGAUAAUUUCACUUGUUUUUGUGGGUAGAUGCCUGAUUGCCAGUUGAGGGUAUAUAUUGAGUCGUUAUUGCCGAAUCACUGCACUACUGUUGCCUGACUUGUUGACUUGUUGACUGCUGGGGGCAAUUGUUGAGCUUUUGGGUGCAAUUGUUGAAGUUCUUGGGUGGGCUGGAAUUUUAACAAUUGUCUGUGAUAUUUUGGGAAGAAUCUCGGCCAGUGUUGUGCUUGUUGAAAUUUUGGUUGAUUUAAUUCGGCAACUGCAUUCCUUGUUGGCAUUAGUAGUUUUUAAUCGAGUUUUUGAGGACAUUUUGGAUGUUGGUUUAUAUUGCUGAUUUGGAGGAACAGUGUCUGUGAUUUUGGUCUGAUCAUUUGUGCAAUUUGUUGACUCAUUUUGUGACGACCCCAUCUCCCCCUAAGGCGAACCAGAGGGUUCGGCGGCCGCCUGCCCGGCUCUCGCCGGGACUCAGUCGUUCACUAAAGUUCUCAAAUGAAUUACAAGAAUAAACCUCAAAUAUACAUCACAUUGUCCACAAAUAUACAUUCAAAUCUCCAAUAAUUACAUGUCACAAAUGCAGCGGAAACAAUUCCCAACUAUACAUAAAAUGAUUCCAAAUCCAAAUUGUACAACAUAAAGGCCAUCCAUUCACGUGAAUAAGCACAACAAGUCCUGCCUUUGCCUUGAGCCCUGUGGAGGGGAAUAAAAUAUUUUUGGGGUGAGCUAGAAACUCAGCGAGUAACCAGAAAAUCAGUAAUCAAAUCGAUUUAACAAUAUUUCUUUUCAAUGAUGUCAUAAAUCAAUGAUGUCAUAAAUCAAAUGAUAAGUCCAGAAACGAUUACAGCAUUUACAAAACAUUAAAUAUGGAGUAUCAAUAAUUCAAGAAACAUGUACAAUGGAAAGCGAUAGUAACAUUCAUGAAAAGGAUACGUUCAUUUUUUAUAAAUAAUCCCUCGUUCAUCUUUUUAUUCGUUCAUCUUUUUUUUUUUCCGGACGUUGGCCGGUCUCCACCCAUCCGGACGUAGCCGGACUCCACCCAUCCGGACGUAGCCGGACUACAAGGUAAUACUCGAGUAUACCAAAUUCACCCAGGGUCACCAUAUCGCCCGACCGAGUCCGCUUCUGGCUCGAGUCGAUCGGUAACGAAGGGCAGUGCCCAGUUCAGCCAAACGGCUUACAUUCAUGCGCAACUAGCAUUUAAUCAUUAAUCAUUGAAAAUUUCAUAUUUAUUUAGGUCGAGUGCGAUAAAGUACACACUCGCCUAGAAAACUCGUUUUAACAAUCAUUGAAAGCACUUAACACAUUAUCAAUCAAUAAUAACAAGCCAAUAAAUCAAGGAAUACAGCCAACAAGGAACACUCAUAUGCAAGCACGCAUGAUAUGCAAGAAAACAGUUCAAAAGUAACUUUGGAAACAGUUUAAAGGUAAAUAAUGUAAGAAAACGGUUCGAAAGUAACUUUGGAAACAAUUCAAAAGUAAAUAAUGCAGCAAACGAUUCAUAAAUAACUUUAGAAAUAGUUUGAGGUCACUCACCUCAAUGGCUCAGAAAUCAUCAUCAUAUAACAUUGCCUUGCUCAAACCCAAGUCUUAGAUCACAAACUCAAUGCAAUCAAGUCCUUUCAAAGUUCGGACAGCACUUCCCCUGAAUAUGCUUACUUUUCCAGCCAUCAUGGCUUCAUUAUAUCUUCAGCCAGUCCCAAAGGUACACACACAACAACAAGUUCAUACAAUAGCCAUUCAGCAAGCUCCAAGUAGUACUAGUACAAGUCAAGCUAGGGAAAAGUCCGGAAAUGAAAGUUUAGCUCAAAACCAGAAAAAAUAUUUUGACGUCAUUUUGCGGUAAUGGUACCAAAGGCACUACGAUUGUCGGAUGAAGGUACAAGAUACACCGUUUCGAAGCUAAGAGAUAGGACUACAAUAUUGAAGAAGGUCACUCAACCCAGUUUCGAGUGUAACCAGGUCAAAAAUGCAAGAUACUACACCAGGAAUCACAAAAACAGAUUCACAGAACGUAUUCUAGCGGAAACAUCAUAAAUCAGGCUAUCCAACUCCAAAUCCAGAAAUUCCAAAACCAGCUGAAAGGUAAGAAACAGGGCUAAAUUUCAUCAGAAGGCCUCAACAACCAAUUCGGAAGCAAUUCCAGCCAAAACAACCAAUUACAGUCGCAAAUCCCAAUUUCGGGUAAACCAGAACAGCAAUAGUAAUUUUGACUUUUCUCACUCUACGCUACUCCGAUUGACCUGAAAUUUUGUAAGCACCUUUAAAAUGUCAUUCCCUACAACUUUCAUGUUUUAAGAAAAUGCCAAUUCGGCCUCUAUCUAGGACCUAAAAAUUCGGACAGAAUGCUCCUUCACAAAACCUGAUUUUCUGAAAUUUCUUCCAAAACAGAAAUUGAUUGCAAUUAAUCACUUUUUCCACCUCAUAGAGUCCUUAAAUAUCAUUUCCAAUCAUCAUACAUGACCCCAUAAUCAUAUUCAUAUGAAAACAGAAAAAUCCCCAAUAAUUAUAAAACUUCAUCAAUUCAACCAAAACUCAAGAAAUAAUCCAUAAAACCAUCUCUUUAGCCAUCACAAGUCUCUAAUUUAGCAUAAUCAAGAACAAAGAAAGGAUGGCUAGACAUGAUACCUUCAAAUAUCAAGAAAGGUGAUGACUUAGGGAUUUUUCUUCCAAAACAACUCCACCAAGAGCUUCAAUCUUCCUUAGCUAGCAAGUUUUAUGGAGUGAUUUGCAAUUUAAUCGGUUGGAACUCAAGAUUUGGACAAGAAAUUGAAGUGCAAGAUGAUGGAUUUUCUCUCUCUUUUUCUCUCAAAAUUUCGUCCAAGACAAGCUAAAAUGGAGAGAAAUUGGGUCCAAAUUGGUUUUAGUAAAGUUAGAAAAGUCUUGGUCAAAAGUCAAGGUCCAAUGGUUUUGUGACAAAUGGUCCUUUAGGGUUUUAAUCUUAUCUUUUUGUCUCUCCAAUACAAAUAUCUUAACACAUUGUAAAAUAAUAUCACUUAAUACAAAAUUCCAACAAGUUGUCAAAAAUAUAAUGCAUUUACCGCACUUGCGGGUCCCACGUCCAAAAUAGGCUUUUAAUUUCUCAAAAACUAACCGAUACUAGAAAAAUUAUUUUAAAACUAUUUUUGCUCAUAAACUUUAUCUGGGGAAUUUUUCUAAUCAAGAAAAUGUAGAAAAGGCGGGCGUUUAAAAAAUAAACCCUAGAGAAUUAGAAAAUUUCCGGGUUCUCAAACUCUUUUUUUUCGGGGCGUCACACAUUUGCGGACUUAUUUGUUUCUUGGGUUUGUUUAUUGACUUCGGUGGACUGGGUUCCCACCUACGGUUCCUCUACUUGCUCUAUUCAUUGGAAUUCUAGUCGCCUAUUGCUCUUCUUUAGAGGUUUAGAAUCUUUCUUGUGACUAGAUUAAUACUUGGGGCUAUUGCUUUAAUACUGCUCUACUCUACUAUAGCAAUUUCAUUGAUUUUGGACUAUGUUUUGCACUAAUGAUACUGGUUGGAAUAUUUCCCCUUGCAUGUGUCAGUUCUACUUGGUUGGAUACUUGAUUGACUGCUGGGCAUGUGUGACUGGGUUGUUCUUGUGCAAUUGGAGAUAUUUAGAGGGAUUUUGGGUGGGCAAGUUGUGUCGCUCUCUAUUGAUAUUUGGGAGGCACCGGUGGCUAUUAAAUUGUUAUUGCUUUGAAUUUUCUGUUUACAUUAUCUGUGGGCAAUUUUGUCUCUUGUUGAUUGAAAUGACAUUUGGAGAAAAUGGUAAGACCCGAGCCCUCUUCUUCUGCGCCUCCCCCACCGAUGGCCUCUGAUGUUAAGUCGCACCACUUGCGAGCUCAGAUUCAUCACGUAGUUGAGAGAGUGACGAACAUCACCCGCCAAGUGGCAAGGAUGUCUCAGAACUCGGCUUCCCUCCACUGUUCCCUCCUAUCCCUUAGCUGUUCAACAGGGAAGUUUCAUUGUUCUCUUCGCUUUAAUUACUUUAUUACCUCCAUUGAGGACAAUGUAGGAUUUAGGUGUAGGGGGAGCAGUUAUGGUGCUAGUGUCUUUCGUUCAUUUUCUUUUUCUUUUUUUUAGUGAUUAGCUCGUAUGGGAUGCCAAGUUUGAUGUUGGAUUAUUGCCUCUAUUUCUACUUUUGCCAAGUUUUAGUAAUAAAAGGGUAUCAAGUUAAUGUGGUUGAGUUCAGGAAUAUCCCUUUGGUGAAUAUCAGUAAUUGAUUGACUUUUCUAAUUUUUGGUUAACUUUUCUAGACAUAGGGAAUGAUUGUUGGCAUUUUCAUGUGAAUUGGUCCGAUUAUUAACCUUAGUUCUCCAUAUUUGAAAAUGAGGCUAGCUGAUGCAAGUUUUCUUUUGGUUCUUGUGUUAUAGUGAGUUCUUGUGAAUUUUAGCUAUGAAUAAACUUGACUGUACUCCGCUAUUAGUUACUACUGAGUAACCGGGGAUCUGCACCUAAAAGUGUUGAUUCUCGCGUCAAAAGGUAGUAAUUCCUAUGAGUACGUGGUCACAUGGCGAUAAAAGCUGAGUAACCGGGCUCCUUCAUCUGGCCAAUGUUGGAGUUCGCGUCAAAAGGCUCUAAUGGCUAACGACUAAGUCUUUUGUUACUAUUUAGAAAAGAAAAAAAAAAGAGAAAAGUAGAAAAAUGUGAAAAAAAAAAAGUGAAUGUUGUGUUAGUGUACAAUAAAAGUCAGCUUGUCGAUUUAUGGAUUUAAUGUUGAGAUUUUGGUUAAUAGUUGGACCAUUUGCUGAUAAAUGUUGCGCGUCAUUCCUUUUUCUUAGAUUAGUUAACCUGGAAUUAGAGGAGUUUGUGGUUUAGAAGCUAACCGGAGUGAUGUUUCUUGGACUUGACCAUUGAUGUUUGAUUAUUAUUUUUCUUGGUAUCUUGGCAAUUUGUUGGAUAGAGCAAUAGUCAUUGUCAAAUAUUGGUGUUUGUUUACUGUUCUUAUGCUUGAGGGCAAGCAUGAUUUAGGUGUGGGGGGAAUUGAUAGGUUACAAUUUUAUCAUUUAUUUUAUUAUUAAUUUUCCCUAUUACCUGACCUGAUGUGAAUUAAUUAUUAGAUUCUACUCACUUUUCGUAAUUUACAUUUAUUUCAGGGAGUAGAACAAAAAUAUCACAAUCAAGACCAAUUUGACAGUUAUCGAAAAAGAGUUCAAAUAGCAGACAAUCAAGAGCAUUCUUGAAACAAGGAGAUGCGACCCUUUCUGGUAAUUUGUGAAAGACAGCAUAAAAGGAGAAGGAGGAACACAGGACUAGGCGUUCUUUCCCUUGGGGGGCUAGAGCCACCGCACAGAGCCAGGCAUUAGAAUAGGACUUUUGAUAGAGGGAGGAGUAGAGGAUUUUUCCUCCUGAAGCUUAGUUUUCCUUUGACUUUUCCAUCGUAGCUUUUGAGGGGUGUAUACACGUCUAUUGUGUCAGCACCUAAAUUGCAUGGCGUGUAUGGCACUAAAUUUCCAGUUCACCUUUCCUACUUAAUGCCUUGCUGAGGCCUCUACUCUGAUUGAGAAACCUUAUAACUGCUGGGGCCUUCUAUUGUGCAAAAAAUCUCAACAAAAUAAUGGUCUGACCCAAGAAGCACAAGAAAGUAUUGUCCUUAACAAUUAGAAUGUCAAAGAAAAAAAAGAGGGAAAUUGACAAUGAUGUUAUGAUUUUAGCUACAUUAUUCAUCUCAUUUUUCUAGUUCCGGAGAAACAAAAUAAAAAGAUUUCACUAAGUUUGCCUUUUGUAAUGUACCGCGCUGGGCUUUGUCCCCCCCCUUAAUAGAAGUUAGAAAUUCGGCUUUUAUAAAUCUAACUUCCAGAAAAAACUUCAAAAACCCGCAACUUUCUGGGGACUUAUAAACCCAAACCCAACGCUUCCCCAGAACCGAUGUGGGAUGGCAACCCCACAAGGGCAAGCCAGUCAAAUGCCCCAUUUUUUGCUAGAAUCUGGGGUUCGUUAAGUUGUCCAUUUCCCUGGAAUUACUUAUUUUGCUUCUCGUUUGGUUCUAUUAUACUAUACAGAAUUAUAUGUAUAUAACGUGGAUUGUCAUCUUAAGAAUCAAGAUUGCCAAUCUGAUCACGUAAAUUGGCCAGAAAUUGGUUGGAAUUCUUUGCAUUUUUCACUUGUGGAAAUAGUUAAAAGAACAGUCACUAAUAUACCUGCAAGUUUUCCAUCACCUCAAACUUUCAUAAAUUUAACAACUCACUAGAAAAAUGCACUAAUAGAUUAUACAAUAAAGAAGAUAGCGAAAGCGUGCCAGCAUAGAAAAGUAGAGCGCGAUUAAUAUUUUUCUAAAUUAUUAAUUAAUUUGAGUCUCUGGAUUUCAAGAAGUCUAAUAAUCAUAUUUAGUACAUUAGCAACAAAAGGAAGAUAAAUGAAAUUGGGCCAAAAACAGUCUGGGCCAACUAGUACAUUUUCCGUUUAUGGGCAAUCAGAUGAAAAGCUAGUGGAGCAUGUGUUUAAGAGUAAAAUGCAGUUUUGGUAUUCAAAUUUUGACUCUUGAACAAUUUUUUUAGUAUCUAAACUUUAAACUUUGAAUGAAAACAAAUUCGAUAUGCACUUGACGGAUUUUUUGUCCAAUUUUCACUAGAAAAAAAAAAUCCCAUGUUGUCAUGUGUCUGGCAACAAAAUUGUUAAAAGAAUUCCAAAAGAAUUGAUGAUGGCCAGGCUAAGGAAUACUAGAACAUGGGUCAUCAUUUUAAAAGAAAUAAAUUAAUCUAAACAAAUAAUUAAUCGAGCUAAUCAUAAUACGCUCAAAACUUCCCUCUUUUCUCCUCUCCUUUUUCAUACCUUUCAUAAACAAACACCUUAAAAAAUAACUAUUCAACUAUUUGUCACAGUAAAUAUAAAAAGUACUGGAGCAUAUAUCCGAGAUUUAUAAAACAUUUGUAUGUACUAUUUUUUUUUUUUUUUGGUCGACACAGGGGUGUCCGGAUCAAUCCUUACGGGGCCCGACUAAUCCAUUUGUCGACUACGUAUGUACUACAUAUGUAGAUUUUAGAACUUUGUCAUACCAUUGUAUGACGACUCAAGUGAUAUUAACAGCUGGGUCAAUUUGAAGUUGUCAACAAAAGCUACAAGUGAUUAAUGGACUAAUAAGUCUAAUUUUAAGCACAAGAACCACCUUCUAGAAACUUAUCUAUUUUCUUUAUUUAUUGAUAGAAAGAUAGGCAAAUUUUAUUAAUAGCAUACUAAAUCUGCUUCAAGAACAACAAAAACAAAAAUAAUAAAAUAAGGUGCAUUACACGUGUCGACAUUGAAGUAAAAUUUCUCCUUUCAAUUUUAAAAUAAUACUACUUAUCAUCUUACUUAUAACUUACAUACUAAUAUGUGAUGAAAAAGGAAAGGGAAAAUGGCAGUCAUAAUUGCAGCUCAGGCAACCUUUUUUUUUUUUUUUUUUUUUAAUCUAAUUUGCUAAUUCUUGGGACAUAAGGAUAGAACUGACUUCAUCUAAAUAAUAAUAAUUCCUUGACAAACUUGAAUGCUAUUAAUUGCCAUAGAAGAUGCUUGGCAAUUUCACUAUUUGGCCUUUCUUAAUCAAUCCAUGAGGCUUACAUCUUGGACAAAACUUGGACGCUUUCUCAAGAAUGACAGAUAGCUGCGUUCAACUGCCAAAAUGUAAAUGAGAAGGGAAAUGAUAAUCAUAGGUGGUGACAUGGGCAACAUCAAUCAUGUCAUCUGUUAAUCCAGAAAUAAAUUUGAAAAGAAUAAAAGAUAGGAGUUUAUUUGGAUGAUUUAUUUGAAAUAAUUACUGUAGCACUUUUUGUGAUGUGAUAUAUGUGAGAUAAAAAGGUGAUUGGAAAAAUAAAAAGGCAAUUGAAAUUUGUGAAGCAAAUUAUUUUAUCUGAAAUCAAGGCAAUCCAAACAAGACGAAUAAAUUGGCCUUACUAACUAUCCUUGGGAAUUAGACUAACAGCAUAACUGGAGUAAUAUUUGUUUGCUUAAAAACUUAUUUGGAUGUUUUGAAAUGGCUGUGGUUGUUUGACAAAUUUGGAUGCUUUUGUAUUGGCAUUUUUACUUAACUUUCUCAACUAUUUUGAUUGUGGACAAUAUCUCAAUGGUUGUUGUAUUUAUGAAGGAGAAUAAUUUAUGUCUAAGAUAAAAUUGAACUCGGAAUCCUUUACUUACAACACCUCCCACCUUAUCGCCCACACCCAAACCUCUCCAACUUGAAUCAUAAUUUGGUCUUAAUCACUUAUCCUCAAGAAUUAGAAUUAGAAUGCGCAUCUUAUUUUGUUUGGUUCCCUCAAGUGGCAGAGCAAGAAUUUUUAUCGGAUCAAUUAAUGGUCAGUUUUUGACUAAUGAAAAUAUUCUAAAUAAGAUUGUGAAAUCAAUUAAUUUCAUAUACAAUCCAAAUAAGAUUAUGAACUCCUUGUUUGUUUAAUUAAUUUCAUGUGCUAACGAUUGUACUUGCCAAAUAAUUGACGGUGACUUUAAUAAAAUUUCUUUGUUAGGGGUCAAAGUUCUUCCUUUCAGCACUAACUGUGUUACAUUCUGAUAUAUAGUCCAUGUUCUACCCAUCUCAAACUUUCUAUAUUAUUUCUAGGUCCGAGACAAAUAUUUUUUGUUUUUGAAAGAAAAAGUUUGAAUGAUUUCGACCCUAGUUAUCACCAUGGUAAAAUACGGUAUACUUUUAUAUUUAUUUAUUCAAAAAACAGAGGUCCGACUAAGAAUCCGGCUAACUGACAAGAAAAAAGCAGUGUCAAUCGAUUGAUUUUGGCCCAAGGAAAGUACUUAGCAGUUGAAUAUUCUCACUCAGUAAAAUGGUCAGAUCCUUGAGAAUCUCAAAGUAGAAGCAAUGAUUCUAUUCCUUAAACCUGAAACAAUUUUCCGUGCUUAGACAUACUUUGGAAUAAAGCAUCAUUUCUUUUAUGAAAAAAAAGACAAUCUUGUAUAUUUGGUUAUUUGACACAAGACGUCAAUACACUUCAAAUGAAACAGUGAAUCCAACAAAUAAGGCAUGACAAGCUGUGAUUAAUGCCAUACAAACGUGAGUUUAUCUUUACGAUUUAUUCAGGAAGUUGCUGUUAGUUUCAUUAAAUUAACAGAGAAGAUAGUGAAGAGUGAAGGGCAGAGCCAUUCCAAAAUGCCAAAGAGGCAGAGAGAUUAUAAAGAUGAUCAACUAACUAAUCAUAAUCAGCCACAUACCCUUCAAGAAGGGCAUCAUACAGGGAGGCUUGAAAACAACUUUUAGUCCAACAUAACGACAUUCAACACAAAUAGCCAAAUAUCUGAGGUUUGAGAAAUGACAGCAAUUGUUGCAGUCAAGCAAUAGCAAUGAAAGGGGGGACUACACAUCCAAAAGAAGGCACAACAAUAUGAUCAGUGUGGAACAAAAUUUGCAUUAUAAACUAAUUCAGAGCCAGCUACAAUGUCACAGAAGAACAGGCAAUAGGCAUGAAACUUCCAAUACAGGGAUAACAACACUUUUUCUGUGUCCUACUUGGUCCGACCAGGGACAAAAGAACAUCUGGCCAAAUUAAAACAGAGAGGUUGGAGCUACAAUCCUUGUGAUUUCAAGACUACUUCAUUAAAAGUAAUGUUCAUUACUACCGGAGAUAGGCUGGAAAAAUUCUUUCAAAUGCAGUUCAAGAACUAAGUAGAAACUGCUGAAACCAGUCACAUUGCUCGAAAAUUUAAAAAGAACAAAAAAAAAUGAGAAAGAAGAAGGGAAAAAGGAACUGCUUAGAAUCAGAGAGAGAAGAGGGACUUCUGAGAGCAGCACUAAUCGGCGGGGACAACUCUGGCAAGUGGAUGGCAAAGACAGCACUAAUCGGCGAGGACAGCACCAAUCCCUUCCCUUUUGUGUAGAAAUAAGUUCAUCUGAAAGUUUUUAUUAUUUUUAGGUAACUAAUUAUGAUUAUUACUACUACUACUACUUUCUGUACCGAUACAGACAUGAGAUGAUUUACUUAUAUUGGCCGUCAAAGUCUAGAGGCAUAGAAAAGUAGAAAUGCUUUCCUUGUAACAUAUCCUGAGCUAAUGAUAUGAGGCCAAGAUGUGUAAGAUCCAUGUCACAUUAGUGCUUCAUGGAACAAUAUUGACGUACAAGGAGACAAGUUCGCAUAGAAGUAAUUUUACAAAUAGAUGCUAUGUUAAAUGUCAGUUUGAUGAACUAAGGUUGACCUUAUAUGUUCCUAUAUAAUCCUGUUCAAUUGAUUUCCAUAAUUUCAUCUCUCCAACGUUCCCAUCCACCAAGUGGGAUCCUUUCUUGCAUAGAAAUGGGUACCUUAGCAAUUCAGUUUUCUAAAUUGCUCUCGAAUUAACAUAUAUAGAAGGGCUCAACCUGACUGAUUCUUUGUGCUCUGAGUCCUGUCUGAGCUUUACAGAUACAAGGAGCAAUGGAAAAGUAUCAUUGGACACAACCAUGUAGUCAACUGCAAAACACUGAGAAAAAAAUAUGUUGACUGUUGUAGAGCUAAGAUACAACUUCAAGAAGGAUGCAAGCAGCUAUCAGGGUUCAGCUAAUCCACAUCUUUCUGCUGCAAAAUACUGGCUACUUUGAACUACAAGCAGCACGGAAGAUAUGGCAAAUUGAGUUCCAAAAGAAGUAAAAGAGCACCUCAUUAACAUGUUUACAAAUUGCUGAAUCGGUUGGACAGUUUAAAAUCACCAGCCGACAAGGAAGAUCUCAGGCUUUGGCCGUCCAAGGCAGAGAGCAAAAGAGACUCCAUCCUGGAUGUUUUCAUUUGAUCUGAUUGAAACAGGAUCUGGUUCAGCAAAGGAUCAUCGGACUUUUAAUAAUGUACCAAGGAUAGUAAGUAAGAGCUAUGAAGGUUUUGAGCGUAAAAUCACUGCAAAACACAAGAACUCAAGAAACUGGAGACAACACAUAGUUGCAUGACAUUUUUAUUGUAUUUGAAACACUAAAAUAAGAACUUACCAUGACGAGAGGAGCAACCAACAAGUAUAGAAGGUGGGAUGAGCUUAAUAGCCUUCAUCACAGCGGAUGAAACAAUUGCAGCAAGUAGCAGCGGGCAGCAAGUAUGCUUGACAGUCUUGACUAACUGCGGCGAUAUGCUUCAAAACUUGCAGCUUAGACUUGAUUGUGUUAGAAGAUACUCUAACAAGUCCGUGCAGCUUUUUUGCAUGAACAGACAUCUUCUGUCGCUGCUCCAAAAAACAUCUACAUUAGGAGAAGAUUUCUCAAGUUUUAGUUGUAAUAUAAUCAGAAUCAAAGUAUUUAAAAGUAAAAAUUGAGUAGUAAAGAAGAGUAGUAUAUCUGACCUUACCGGACUCUUAGAACCAAAAAUCAGUUUGACAACCAACAGCUUUGGAAACUUCUGAAGUCUUUAUGGCUAGAAAAAGGAAAAGUGAGACAGAAACCCAUCAUCUACGAGAUUAUCGAACAAAUCACUAAUCAAUUGGUUCAAGAAGCUUGAUAAAUGCGCCUUCAAGAGGUGAUUAAACUUUGGAGCAACUAUUUACUCCCUCUGGAAUCAUAAGUUAGGGAGCUGAUCACUUUAGCAAUCACAUCUUACAUCAACAAAAGAAGAUAUAUAAAAUCAACAAAACGAAGCUCCUAGUGCUUAUUUCAUAUUGAUGGGUAACUUGUCGGAAAUGCAAACCAAAAAUUAAUUAAUACCAGCUAUAAAAAUCCAAUCUACGUUCAUCCAGGGGAGAGACCACAAAAAUCUGCUUGCUAAGUGUAGGAGAAAGACGUGCAGCAGAGAAUUGUUGGUUUAAAGUCUUGUAGAAAAGGUUUCUAGAAUUGCUGCAUGUGAUAUCGAAUCUAAAAUGUCCAAUGCAUUUUCAACAGGUGAAACUUCAGAGUGAGCAACCAUUUCAUCCUGGUGAAAUCAUGAGUUUAAAGAGAGUGCGCUGAUGUUAGCAAACACAACGUACAAAGGACAGUAACUGACAUACACGAUAAACAAAACUAAAUGCUCAAUUCCGCCCCACAUUAGUGCAUUUGUUUCAGUGUUAGUUCAUCCAAAACAUGAUUCAGUUAACCCAAGAAAAUCUCAUUCAUUUUCCAUGUUUGAUCUAGUACAGAAACAUGGUAUUGAAUUAAGCCUUCAUUUGCCAUGUUUGAUCUUUGCAUCAGCAGAUAAUAUGUGAUAGAACGUGAGCAAUACCAAUUUAACACUAGAAAUUAACCAAAAAGAUUGUUUAGUUCCAUUAAUUGACAUGAAGCCGUGCAUGGCUUAUUAGUGGUAAAGGUAAAAGAACCUACUCUGUUGUUACUUCAAUUAUCAGUUGAUAUACUCUCAAGGAAAGAGAGGAUUUUCAAAAGUGAAGGCAGUAAUUAAAGAACCUACUCUGUUGUUCCCCGACUGAGCUUUAAGCCUACAGUCACUGCAAAACAGAAAACUCAGAUUCAGGACUUCACAUAGCAAAUCAUAAGGCUAACUGGAAAUUGCAUGACAUUUUUUUUAGUCAAUUAUUCAGAAAGCCAAAUCAAUAUUUGUUUCUGUUGCGCUUUUCUAACCUAAAUCAGUAAGAAUAUAUCAAAUUUUUCUGCUCAGUCUACAAGUACCAGAAGUGCCAUAGAAACUAUAUUAGUUUUGGUUCAAAACACUGAAAAAAGAGUAGCACCUACAAGCGUGAAAGGCAGAGAGCUCCUGAAUUGCCAUGAAGGCAAACUCUUUGAGACAGCAAGAUGCAACGCGUAGAGCUAAUUAUAACUCUUUUGACUCUUAAAAUCUCAAAUCAUGGCAUUUGAACAUAAACUUCAGAAGGCGAUAGUCUACCAAGCCUCUGCUGCUUGAAGAAGGUCUUAAACAUAACAAUUUUUUAAAGGUUUUAAUUAAUUCAUUGGAUAUUAAACUUCUUAAAACCCAAUAUUAAGCAGUGGAAGAAGAUGAUUGGUAUUAAAAAUUAUCUGACAGUAAGUAAGUAAGAGCCAUGGAUGAGGUUCCCUGUUGAGUUUUGGGCCUAAAAUCGCUGCAAAGCACAAAAAUUCAAACUCAAGCCGGCGAAUAGCAUAGAAUAAAGCAAAUGGAAAUUUUCAGAUAAUUGCAGGUUUUCUGUCAUUGUAACUAAAGCCCCAAAAGGAGAAACUUACCAUUAAAAAAGGAAGCAACCAACAAUCAUAAAAGCAGAGAGAGCUUAAAAGCCUCUAUCAAGAUGGAUUCAUUAAGAGAAGCAAUUCACAACAAGCAAACUUGACUAACUACCAGAAUGCUUCAGAACAUUGCACAUAGAGUUGUUCAGUUGGAAGAUACUCCACCAAGUUUUGUGCAACUUCAUUGCUCAAACAGUACAAACCUUCCUUUGCUACCUCAAAAAUAUCUUCAUGACAACAAGAUUUCUUCUGUUUUAUAUGUAACAUAUUAGAUAUUAAAGUGGUUAAAAGUCAAAAUUGAGUAGUGAAAGAAGAGAAGCAUAACUAAAAUUACCAGAAUUUUUGAACCCAAACAUGAAAGUGAUGACCAACAGUUGCGAAAACUCCUCAAUAAUUGACCAUUGUCUUCAUGGAUCAAAAUCCAAAAUCAAGGAUAAGUGAGCCAGAAAACCAUCUUAUAUGACUCUGAUAGAGCAAUUACUAGCCAAAUAGUUCAGAUAAGUACGCAAGUUCAUUAUCAAGAGGUAAAAGUUCAGUCCCCUUAGAAUCACAAUUUUAAAUAGAGUGAGAUGACUUUAGCAUUAAUAACUUAAAAUCCACAGAAGCAGAUCACGUAAAAUAAACAAAACAAGACUUCUAGUUGUUCUAAACGUUGAUAGACUAUUUGUAGGAAAUGCAGGCCAAAAGUUAUUGAGUUCUAGCCAUAUAAACGGUGCUGAAGAAGCUUCAAAAUUCUAACCUCUGUUCGUGAAGCUAUUCUUCUAUCAAUCCUACAAAAACAAAGCAUAGAACAGAAUAUGAACAGAGAUACAGUAAAACAUCAAAGCACGAAAUAGAACAGGUGCUUGGGGUCAUUCUAAUUGAUAGUUACAAGAGCAUUACUAUUAUGUUGUAAGGAGUAAAUGAAGAGCACCAAUAUUUUGGACCUAAUAAGAAAUGCUAAUGCCGCAGCUUUGAAAGAUAAUAAAUAGGACGAUAAAAAGGGAGAAGAGAAAAUUGUGAAAAUAACCACGGAGACUUUUUAGGUUUUCUCACGAGAAGGUUAAUCAGAGGGGGAGGUGAAGAGAACGGGAGAUUGAUUGCAAAGCAAAUUAAGAAAGUGGUUAUUGAAGGCAAUCUUACGUGAUUGAAUUUGAUCUGAAGAUGAAAGUUGGUUAAUCAUCGGUUAUGUCUAGGUCUUGAAUGUGAGAAACUUUGGACCACUGGGAGUCGGGGCCGCUGCUCCCAGGAGUGCAUCUUUCUUUUAACAGAGGAGAACCAUGGACCUGCAGACGUUUUAGUUUGGUGAGACUUCUCAUGGCAUCCUCAGAGGGUAGAUGUCCAAGCCCUUUGAAACCAGUUAACCGCAGCGCUUCAAGAGUAGCGAAGUUUCCGAACCAAUCUGGCAGAGCUUUUAUACCUCCAAAGCCACGUAGCGUUAGUGACGUGAGAGUGGUCAAGUAUUGGAUCUGAGGUGGCAGUGACUCCAUGUGUGGCAACCCAUAUAAUACUAAUCGACGGAGUGCGCAUGACGAAGAGGAGGAGGAGGAGGAUAUCAAUCCAGACCAAUCAAACUCAUUGUAAAUUGAAGAAUUUUCAUGAUCAUCACCAUCAUCUGAGAAGGGACCAAUUUCAAGCUCCCUUAAGCUAGUUAGGAAACCAAAUCCUUUGGGCGUCAUGCUUGUUUUCAGUUUGGGACACCCCAAUAAUUUCAGCUCCGAGAGAGAAGGCGUUUGUUGCAAAUCAGGCGGAAAGGAGAUAAGAUUGUCGCACCCACUCACCUCAAGCUUCUGGAGAGAGGCACAAGAGUGUAGAAUGUCACCGGGCAGAUUCGUUAACCCAUCACACUUAUAAAUCUCCAGCUCUUUAAGAGACGUAAAGUUUUGUAGGGGAUGGAGUUCUCUGCAUCUGUUGCAGCAAUUAAAUUCCAAACGCGCUAACUUGGGGAGUGUUGUUGCUAACUUGGGGAUUGUUGUUGUUGUUGGCAAAUCCAUUAACCAUCGAGGAAAUUGAUCGCCCAUAAAAUUCCAAAUUACCAACUCCUCCAAAUUUGGGUGGGGUCGAAGGCUGUCUAACACAUCUUCGUCGUUGUAAUUGUCGCCUUCUCGAUCAUCUGCCCACUCAAGUUCCAGCCUAAAUAGAUUUGCCUUUUCAGAUAGUUUUGCUUCCUCAGCUCCUUUCUUAUCCGUUACUAGUUCCAGAUUGCGUAUCUCCAAUUUGCCUUUGAGGUUCUUCAAGCUUCCAAGCUCUCCAAUUCGCCGACCCUUCUCUCGACCCACGUUAAAGAACUCUAGCGUCCGAAGGCAAGUCAGCCGUCCCAUCUCUAGCGGCAUUUGAAAUGUUUCAUCAAAUGUGUAAUAGUGGAGAUGUCUCAAACUAAUCAAAUUGCACAUCCUCUCCGGAAGACGGUCAACAUCUGAGUGACUUAGCGUCAAUGUCUGCAGAUUAUAAAGCUUGCAAAGGGAGUCUGGCAAAAUACUGAUUGCAGACCACUUAAGGUUAAUGUACCGCAAAUGUAUCAGUUUGCCAAUUGAGACUGGUAGCUCUCGAGUUCUUGUAUGAGACAAAUUCAAAACAUACAAGUUCUUCAACUUCAUUAACAUAUCACCAGAUAAGUAACCUUUUACAAACAAUGUAUGAAGCGAAGUUGAUAGACUCUCCAAAAGUUUUUCUCUGUCUUCUCCACCACCAAAUAAGUCUGUUGCAAGGUAACGAAUCUGAUUACCAUUGCCUACUAUACUCGUAUCCCUAUCAAUAAUGACUUUGGUAGACUUUGACAUUAACUCGGCAAGGUCGUGCACCAGAUCAUGCAUCUUAUAAGAUGUUGAUGUUUCUGACUCAUCAAUUAUUUCUUCAAACAAUGAACUCUGCAAUAAAAUUCUCAGAUAAUUAAUUACAUUUUCCUCCAUCAUCAUUUGGCUGUUGAUGUCUGCUUGGAGGAAACCUUCUGCCAUCCAAAGCUCGAUUAGCAUAUCUCCUUCCAUCUCAGUAUCCUUAGGAAAUAUAGAACAAUAUGCAAAACAUUUCUUAAUGUAUGGAGAUGGCAAAUUAUCGAAACUCAACUUAAGUAUUUGCAUGACACGAUCUUCAUCUCCACUCAAACUUGAAAGCCUAUUCUCCAAAAUUGAUUGCCACUCCUCUUUUCUCUUUAAAGAUAAUAGACCUCCAAUUACACUUGCUGCCAAUGGUAGACCAUCACAUCUUUUGAUUACUCUCUCUUUAAUUGCUUUUAGUUCAUCAGGUACUUCUCCGCCUCCAACUACUUUUUCUUUUAGGAUAGACCAGCAAAGAUCAUCAGGUAGCCUUCCUAAGGCAUAGGCUUCAUCAUCCAUCCUCAGAACUUUCAACACAAUAUCUGCCAGUUGACCAAUACGAGUAGUGACAAGACACCAGCUUCCAUCAGUUGGAUUGAGCCCCUUCAAGGUGGUGAAAAAGUCAUCCCACAAUGCCUGAUUAUCAUCCCACACAUCAUCAAGGACAAGGAAAUAUCUUUUUCCCUCUAGUUGAUUCUGAAUUUUUCCAACGAUGACAUUCCUAUCAUCCACUUCAACCUUUUCUCCCGUCAAUUGCACUAGUAUGAGUUUGAAAAGUUCCACUACUGGAACUUUUUUUGAUACGCAAACCCACAACUUUUUCUGAAAGUGCCCAUCAAUUUGGUGAUUGUUGUAUAUCGAUUUAGCCAAAGUUGUUUUGCCUAGACCUCCCAUACCAGUUAUGGGAAGACAAGAGACAACCUUCUCAGAUGGGCUCAACAGCAUCUUCACUAUCUUUGAUUCAUCAUCGGCUCUUCCAGUCAUUGGAACAGCAACCGAGUCGGUCUGCCUAUUUCUUCUGUCUCCAGCAUCAGCAGCAGCAGGGAGGGCAGCUGUCAUGACUGCCCUGCCGAUCAGUCCCAAUCCAUCGGCUUCUUGAUUGAUCUCAUUCAACUUAAGCUUGAUGUCCCUGACCUUAGAAGCCAUUCUCCAACGGAAACCAACGGAGUUAGAGCAGGAGAAGAAGCAACAUACCUUGCUCUUGGGUUGGUUCCGGGACUCCACCUUGCAACGAAGAGAUUCGUAGUUGAGCUCAUCCAACACAUUGCCAGCAUCAUAAGCAACUUCCUCCAGACUCUUCAACCAUUCUUGGACUCCCCGGUCCUGGUUUUGUUGCCUUUCCUCAGCAUCAGCCAAGAGAGCAUUGAUAAAGGUAAGAGUUCGACUCAUGCUGGCCAGAUCCUUCUUGAACCCAACUAACAUACCAAUCCUAUCAGUGGCAAGAGAUACUGCCGUCUCCAAGGCAACCUGAAUAGUGGCACUAAUGACAGCGUCGGCCAUUUUCCUUUCCUUGUAUGGGGCUUAAUAGCUAGGAUGCUUUGUUCAUAUCAGAUUGGUGAUUUCGUUGUAUGUAGCUUGCUAGGAUGCUUUUUCCUAUCAGAUUAUAAAGAUGGGGAUGGACAGAAGGGUAGAGGCUUUCGUCAAAGUUUUGGUGAGAACCGAUUUAUUUAUUUAUUUUUCAAAUUUAGAAUGGGACCGUGGGUUCCGGUGGUAUGAACUGAAGUAUGGUGGAGCCACUAAGCGAGUUAUGUAAUUUACCCAAUUUAUAAAGGGUUAUAUGUAAUUUAUCCAAUUCAGAAUGGGCUUCUUCCCCGGUUUUAGUUAAUUAUAUUGUUGCAGCUAGUGCUUCAGUUCACGCUAAUGACAGGCGGACUCAGGGCCGGAACGGUUGCAGGUGCAACCGUUUCGGAAGCUCGUGUGCAUUUUGCACACGAUGUAACAUCAUUUGUACGCGAACAAUAUUUUAUGGAAUCUACACAUAUUAAAAUCUGGACCUUACAAUUUUUAUUGGUCAAAUCUUGACCAUUAACUGGCAGGAACGGUUACCCCUUCUUAUGCCAGGCCAGGCCCUUGGGUUGCUGAAAAUAUGUCUAAUCCUUGAUAUUUUUUAAAAAAGAAUACUGGAAAAAAUCGAACUGGAUAUUAAAAGUACAUUUCCAUCUAAAAUAUUCCAACAAUAAAACUACUAGAAAAGUAGUAUAUAGAACAGCUAACAUUUCCAGCUAAAAUAUUAACAAUAUACAAAACUAGCAGGAGAAACUAUAUAUAUAGAAAUGGAUGGGUCACGUUCGCGUCUCAAUUGUUAAUUUGUUAUUGUGUCAGCGCGGCGGCUUUGGCCAUCUCAAUUAUUACCGCUGCACCAACGACGAGUGUAUGCAGAAAAAUCCUAAACAAAUCAUCCAAUGAGGGUUUCUCAGCUUAGAAAGAAGAGCGCUGCUUCUUUUGACAAACUUGCAAAUGCAUUCUCCACAGAACCAACUAACAUUUCCAUCUAAAAUAUUACCAACAACAAAACUACUAGAAAAGUAGUAUAUAGAACGUACUCU